rnacentral:lncRNA from 1 species
CCAGGUCUCCCAGGACUCCCAGGCCUCCCAGGCCUCCCAGGACUUCCAAUAUCCCUUGCUGCUGAAAAAACUUCAUCUAAGUCCUCCAACUCCAAAACUUCAAAGAAUGGGCAACUAGGUGAUAAUAGAGAAGUAGCCCAUCCAGAUUCUCCACCAGCAGGUUCAGCACCAUGAUUCCCAACCUGCCACCUAUCCUGGUUUCUGUUGGGUUCCUAUCCUAUUGGGCGUAACCCGUUUAAGUAUAAUAAGCCCAUUUAGGUCUUCUGAGUUGUGGUUUCCUGAACUUCUAUGUAUAUGGUCUCUUCCUUCUCCUUGAGAACUAUGUGAAAUAUUAAGAGAACUAUGUGAAAUAUUGAAUAUUUAAGUUUUAUCUUCUUUUCCCAUUUUCUCUGUAAUUUUCCCUCUUUCUUCUCUAACGAGAAUGUGUCAUGCAUAGACAGCUAGUCAGCUACGAGUACGGUAAUAUAAUACGAUUCAAUUAUUAGUUAAAUACAAUGAUUAUCGUUGAAACUCAAAAUUUCAGGACAAGGGAGUCGCAUGGAUUCAGAUAUAAAAAUUAUAUAUAUAUAUAUAUAUAUAUAUAUAUAUAUAUAUAUAUAUAUAUAUAUAUAUAUAUAUAUAGGGAAUUGUUAUUGGCACUUCAAAAAUCUCAUUCUACACUCCAAAUUUUCUAUGUUUGGAAAGAAAAAAACAUUUGUGAGGUGUGUAGAAUUAGAUUUUUGGAGUGACAAUAACAAUUCCCUAUAUAUAUAUAAAUUAUUAUUGAAUAUUACCCAAGGAUGAAAUAUGUGAUGUUUAUUAACUAAUGAAAUGUGCUUGAAAACUUUGAGUUUUAAUGAUAAGGACAAAAUAAAGGGUAAAGUGAAUAGUACCAGGAUUGACUUUUUAAUGUAAAAAUGUAGUUUUUCGUUAAAAUGAACAGUACCAGGAACUUUUCGUUAAAGUUCCCUUAUUAAUAAGCAUUUUAGGAAUAUCUCUGACUAUGUUUAUUAACAAUUCCCUAUUAUUGAAUAUUAUUGAAUAUAACCUUUUUCAUCCUUGGGUAAUAUUCAAUAAUAAUUUAUAUAUAUAAUAUUAUAAUAAUUUAUAUAUAUAUAUAUAUAUAUAUAUAUAUAUAUAUAUAUAUAUAUAUAUAUAUAUAGGGAAUUGUUAUUGUCACUCCAAAAAUCUAAUUCAGGGACGUCGUCGUUCUGUAAAUUAUUAAACCAUUCAAAUAUGCGAUGUUUAUUAAUAAGCAUUUUAGGAAUAUCUCUGACUAUGUUUUUAGAUUAACAUGCGCUUAGCAACAGAAAAUUGUCAUGGAGAAGCGGUUGCCCAAACUUAAGGCUGCAAUUUUGAGUGCUCAGAAGUGCUUGGAAGAUUGCAACUAUGUUAGGGGAUUGGUGAGUGACCAUCAUACGCGGAGUUGUUCUGCAUUUUUUAGUUGUACAGUAGUUGUAUAGACAGUCCAUUUUUCUACGUUAGCAGUACAAUUUCUUUUUGUUUUCAUCUUGUUUUUCCUCUCUUUAAUUGUCUGAACUGCAAUACGUUUCUGCAGCUUGAUGAAUGGUGGGACUCCCACCCACCAUAACCGUUGCUCAUCCCUAGAUAGGAGCAACCAGCAACAAUUGUUGUUGACUGGGUCUGAGUCGAUGGAUUAAAUGUUGCUGCCUGGCAUGAUCAUGUGAAGCAGCUCCUUGAAUUUUAUGAUCAGGAGCACUUGUGAGUAUUAUUCGAGUACUCAGCAAACAAGAUUUUAUGGGGAUCUAACUGGUCUUCCUGUUGGCAGUCCCACAUUGAUGGGGGAAGUCAACAAGGGUGGCUAUAAAUAUGAUUACGCUACUCUAACUAAUACCAAGGUUUUUUUUGGUAAAACCCCACACUUGACGGAUUGGGCAGGUGAUAAAGUUGGGGACUGUAUCGGUCUUAUUAGAGUGGCCAGUUGGGGACUCUAUAGGUCUUGUUAGAGUGGUCCCUGGGUCCGUCGAUCUCUACGAAGCCCCUUGUUUCAUUCAUUCUCGCAUUGCUAAAAACACAUUUUCAUUCAUUCUCGCAUCGUUAAAAACACCUACAAAGGCUUGGUAGAAACUCAAGCUCGACUUUAUGCUUGGAAGGUGAAUUCAUUAUCUCUGGCUGGUCGCGCCACUUUUGUUCAGUCUAUGACCUCCGCUGUCCAGUAUAUGCUUUGCAGACAAUAUUACCAAUUACCAUUACAGAUAACCCCGAGUGUCAAAGAUUUUCCCAAGGCAAGAGAAGUUUGGCAAAAGUUGGAAAGUAUAACCAAUAGUCAGACCACAUUAAUUUUCAUGAUUGGCUUCAUUUUAAUUUCACCACUAAAUCACUCAUAUUGGGGGGUUUAGAGUAGAUGUUAGUAUUUUCUGUUGCUUGUUGGUUUAUUUGGUAUUGGCGAAAUACAUUUAUUUUCGAGCAAGAUUUUGCAAUGUUAGAUGAGCCUACCGUCGAUAUUUGUGCAUAUUUUCAUGAAUUGUUAGCCUUCUAAUACUCACAAAAUUGAUAAAUGCCGAAAGACUGAAUCUUUGCUCCACUGGGAAGCUCUUCAUUCAAAAUUGAUUUACACUUGAUGGAAAAUAAUGCUCCUUACAUAACUAACCGGCAGCCGUGCCGGAGGCAAUGUGUGUAUGGAAUCAUAUACUGAGGAUAUUGUCACUUCUAUGUUACGAUUUGAGGAGAGAAAGGCGGAGUAGGGAAGCCGGCCGAGAGGAACAGCUCCUGAUCUUAAGAAGGAUAUGUUGUAUCAUAAACUUAUAACUUGGUCCCUUAUUGAAUGAAAGGGCAGGCUUCUGCUUUGAAUAAUACCACUUCAGACUUCAGUCCAAUUAUGUCUUCCUGUUCUGAAAAUUGACAACUCCAUGUGAUAACAAAACAUCUCAUGUAUUAUUGUACGGUUGAAAAUUGCUGCUUUACACUAUACAUUUAACGUGAUUAGAAAUUCCAUGAAAAUUUACAAACAAUACCAGGGAUGUGUCAUAGGCUGAAAAGGAGUAAGGAUGUUUGUACAUAGGCUGAAAAGGAGUAGGGAUGUUUGUACGUUCCUUCCCCACAGCAAAACCACAUAGCAAAAGGAUUACAAACACAGCUAACAAAUCAAUAAACACAAAAUCAUCAUUAGGUCAACGAUCAUAUGAUUAUAUCAGAUGCACGUCAAUUAAAUAAUUCUCAUGUUCAACUAAGGUCACUAAAAGCCCCCUAUUUGGCCUAAUUAGAUAUGGUCUUCGUGGUGAUAGGAUAUUUGUAAUAUAGCUCAUGACUUAAAAAAAAAAAUUCGGAUUUAAACCCUUGUGGUGAUAGGGUAUUUAGAAGACAAUCCAUUUCUAUUGAGCCACAAUGAAGGGAGUGCAGAAAUUCACAGUUUUGUUUUUGGGAUUAACAAAGAAAUAACAGAAAUUUGGUUUUUGGGCUUAAAUCACAACGGACUUCACCACAAGAAUAUAAAUCUGAUUUUUUUUACCACAUGGGCUAUCUUCCGAAUACUCUAUCAUCACGAGGACUAUUUAUACAAUUAGGUCAAUGUUUUUUUAAGGUGAAUAUCACAUGCUAAAACGGAGAAGGAUUCUCUCAUCUUCUAAUCUCUCUCCCAUUCCCUCCUCUCCUACUUGAACAAUUAUGAUUAAGUUAUGUCAAUAUUUUAUAUUGAUAUUUUUAUAAAGAUAAUAAGACAAAAAACAAUGUGUUGAUGCACAAAAUCAGCGAGGACUUUGGUACAACAGAAAGUGUCAGGUUUGUGACAUUCGCUUGGUUGCUUCGAUCACUAGUGAAGAUAAGUACGUAAAUGAAUAGGGACAGGGAAGCAAACACAAGAUGUACGUGGUUCACCCAAAUCGACUACGUCCACGGAGUAGAGGAGUUCUCAUUAAUUGUGAAGGGUUUACACAAAUACAUAGGUUCAAGCUCUCAUUUUUUGAGUUCUAGUGAAUAGUUUAGUACAAAAUGACAUUAGAUAUUAUUGUGGGAGAAUGAUCCCUAUUUAUAGAAGAAAGUUUCUAGUUUUGUUCUAACAUUGACACGUGUCGUGUUGUGAUUGGCUUCUGAUGUUGACACGUGUCGCGCUGUGAUUGGCUUCUGAUGUCGACACGUGUUGCAUUGUGAUUGGCCUCCUGGUUGAAGGGAAGCUCUUCUGGGUCCUUGACGUAUAACGUUGACCGGUGCUCAGUAGUUUCGGGAUUGGUCAAGUAUGGUACAAACAGUGCUCCCCUAAGUUCCCGAGUGAGGGAAGCUCCUCGGUUGGGGACUUGCAAGAUCCAAGCCACUGAGUAAUCACGAAACUUCUAAGUACCGAAGUGUGGUAUCAUUUUCACGCGCCUUAUCUGUCUCAUAUGUAGAUGUGGCAUCUUCUUUGGAAGUACUUUUCCUUCAUCCAUGGGUGGUAUCUUUAACCGAUGAAGAUGCACAAGGUAAUGUAUCAAUUUCACUUGAAGCUUACUUAUAGUUUCGGGCUUGGUCAAGUGCGAUACAAACCCUAUAGUAGGAGUCCCCCAAGUCGCCGAGCUAGGAGAUCUGCCGAAAGAGGUGACAGACAAGGUAAGCAGUCAAACUUCCAAGCAAGCAACCCAGGAUCAGAGGUUCGACUUCGGCUUCCGGUUGAUUGUUCUCCUUCUCCUUGUCUCUCAUUCAGCUGCCGGGAUAAGGAGAGGCAAAUGGAGAAGAGAUGAUAUGAGAUACUUUUGCUUUUGAAGAAGUAACUUUCCACAGGCUUAUUCUUGAACUGUGCUGGAGGGUUUUCUGGUUCCCUUCAGAGUAUAAGGCCGACUCAAGAAUUUGAGGGUCAAAACAAGUCCAUCAAAUCUAGAGUACGUUCGACCUUGAUGAUAUGGGAUACUUUUGCUGUUGACGGAAUAGUGAAUGUGGUAUGGAAAAGUGUCGUGCUGUAGUGAUCUGUUUCAGCUCACCGUUAAACCUUCUGCUUUAAUCUUUUGCAUGGCAGAAGUGGUGUGCAACCUUUGCAUUUAAAUGGUCCUUCAGAACAUUCCUUCAUAGUGACUCAUCCACGCUUGGCAGCUUCAGUGUAAAGAGCCAAUAUCUGAUCAACUGUCAUGAGGUAUGUGCCGGUGGAAUUCAUGACCUUGACAGCAGUUGAGGAUGAGUUCUCGAGAGCAAUGCUAAGUAAGCAACCAGGCAAAGGUCUCAGGCAGUCAGUUCCAGAUUGGAGGUUUGAUUUCAGGUUCCGACUGACUGCUCUCUUUCUCUUGUCCUGCAGGUGUGGACAAGGACGAAGACAAGGACAGGGAGAAAGCAUAAUAUGAGAUACUCUUACUUUCGACCCUGAUGAUAUGAGAUACUCUUGUUCUUGGUGUGGCUUAUUUGCUGAGGUAUUAUCGGGGGGAAAUAAAGCUGAGUAUUUCGAGAGGUUAUGUUGAGGGUGCAUUCUCGAAUGUGAGAAAGGGUUGAGCAUUUUUGUAGGUUUGCCUGUCCGUUGAGGAUGGAGGUCGAUGUAUAUAGGGAUUUCCCAAUAACAAGUAGUAAUGCUAUUCCUUUAUCCUUCUUGGUCACAACAAUGUAGUGGGAGCUGCCAGCUUCACGUGUUUUAACUUUGUCAGAGCACUUUGAAAAAUUGGUAUGUGGUAUCUGGAAAGCUGAUGUUGCGUGUGAAGAUUACAGACAAGCUUUAUCUAAGGAAAUCUGGCUCUCGAAGUUCUGAGAGCUGUGCCUCUUCGGUUUUCGAACAAGCAAUCCCGUCGGGGAUCUAGCUCUCGAGAUUCGGAAAGCGGUGCAGCUUCGGUUUUUGAGAAAGUAAUUAUGUUAGGAGUCUUUUCUCGAAGGUGAGUAAAGGUUGGACGUUCUUGCCAGCCUGUCUUGCCACAGAACACGGAGGUCGACACACAUAGGGGCUUUCCAGUUGUCAAGCAGUGGUGCUGUUCCUUUACCCUUGUGGGUAAUAGUAGGGUAGCUGGAACUUCUAAAUUCUCGUGCCUAAACUUUGUCAGAGAUCUUUGGCAAAGUUAUAUGUGGUACCCGAGGAGUUGAUGGUGCGUGUGGAGAGUGGUGAUUGAACAGUAAGAUUCACGUGCUUUUUAUUUCACCAGAAAUCUUCGACAGAUUGCCCAUAAUUUCCGCAAAGCUGAGUGUGCAUGUGACAGGUGCUGACGAGGCUGAAAAAGCAGGUGCUUCUUCGAUUUCUGAGAUCGGCCCUCGUGGUCUCUGAGCAACUCAGCUUUCGAGAAAGCAAACGCCUCUUCGAUUUCUGAAGCUCUGUCAAGUGUAGAUUUUUAUAGAGGUUGGCAUUAAGUUCCACAUCACACUUGAAUCUCCACCAGUAGAAGCUCCCUUCUUGCACUUCUAAGAUCUUGAUUUGUCUGACCUCUUCCCUCUUCAACACCUUUGAAAAUGUCUAGCUCCUCUGACCGUCGUUUUGACUUGAACCUUGGAGAAGAGACAGCCACGCCUUCUCCAGACAACAUAUGGCGCCCAUCCUUCAUAUCCCCUACUGGUCCUCUUACCGUUGGGGAUUCUGUGAUGAAGAAUGAUAUGACCGCUGCAGUGGUGGCCAAGAACCUUUUCACUCCCAAAGAUAACAUACUACUUUCCAAACGGUCUGAUGAGUUGGCUGUUAAGGAUUCUUUGGCUCUUAGUGUUCAGUGUGCAGGUUCUGUGUCUAAUAUGGCCCAACGCCUAUUUGCUAGAACCCGCCAAGUUGAAUCAUUGGCUGCUGAAGUGAUGAGUUUCAAACAGGAGAUUAGAGGGCUCAAGCAUGAGAAUAAACAGUUGCACCAGCUUGCACAUGACUAUGCUACAAACAUGAAGAGGAAGCUUGACCAGAUGAAGGAAUCUGAUGGUCAGGUUUUACUUGAUCAUCAGCGGUUUGUGGGUUUGUUCUAAAGGCAUUUAUUACCGUCGUCUUCUGAGGCUGUACUGCGUAAUGAAGCUCCAAAUGAUCAACCUCCGAUGCCUCCUCCUUCUGGGGUUCUGUCCAGUACUGAGGCUCCGGAUAACCACCCUUCGGUGCUUUCUCUUUCUGGGGCUCUACCGACUGCUGAGACUUCCCCUGAGCAACCUUUGUGAAGGCUCCCUCUUGUUUGUUUAUUUUGAUUCAUGUAUAUGUACAUAUUUGUAACUUAUCGGAAAUAUCAAUAAACAAGAUUAUCUUCAUUUCAACGUAUUGUGUUAAAUACACCAAGGCAUUCUUCACUAAGUUCUUUGAAUUUUUCCUUUUGUUGAAGCUUGUAUGUUGAAACUUUGUGAGUGAAGCAUGUAGGUUGAGGUAGUGCUCCCUUAAUUUCCCGAGUGAGGAAAACUUCUCGUUUGGAGACUUGAAAAAUCCAAGUCACUGAGUGGUCGUGAGACUUCCGAGUAUCAAGGUGCAGUAGCAUAUGGUAGGAGUCCCCCAAGUCUCUGGUCGAGGGAGUUGACAAAUGAGGCAUUUCCUUUCGAAGUGGUAGCCCAAAACUCCUUCUUCAUAUAUAUUUGUUAUGAAAGUUGUUAGGCCCAAAGAAGAGGAGGCCUAGGCAAAUUUUUUUUUUUUUGAAUUUUCAAAUUUCCGGAUUUUUGAAUUUUCGAAUUUCCGAAAAAUAAAAAAUAAAAAUAAUAUAUAUAUAUUUAAAAGCUUUGUAGGUGAAGCUUUGGUGUUGAAGAUUUGUAGGUGAAGCUUUGAGGUUGAAGCUUUGUUGGGCACCAUGAAUUGAUUUUGCUUCACACUAUCUUGAUGAAGAGUGUGUGAAGCUUUUAUAUGUUUUGGUGUUGAAAUUUUGUAUUGUAGGUGAAACUUUGGGGUUGAAGCUUGAUAGGUGAAGCUUUGGUGUUGAAGCUUUAUAGGUGAAGCUUUGGUGUUGAAAGCUUUAUAGGUGAAAGCUUUGGUGUUGAAGCUUUAUGAAGCUUUAUGUGAAGCUUUGGUGUUGAAGCUUUAUAGGUGAAGCUUUUGUUGGCACCAUAAAUUAAUUUUGCUUCACACUAUCUUGAUGAAGAUAGUGCGAAGUUUUGGAGAUUGAUAUUUGUCCUCCAUUGAUGAAGCUUUUGUUGGCACCAUAAAUUGAUCUUGCUUCACACUAUCUUGAUGAAGAUAGUGCGAAGCUUUUGAGAUUGAUAUUUGUCCUCCAUUGAUGAAGCUUUUGUUGGCACCAUAAAUUGAUUUUGCUUCACAGUAUCUUGAUGAAGAUAGUGCAAAGCUUUUGAGAUUGAUAUUUGUCCUCCAUUGAUGAAGCUUUUGUUGGCACCAUAAAUUGAUCUUGCUUCACACUAUCUUGAUGAAGAUAGUGCGAAGUUUUGGAGAUUGAUAUUUGUCCUCCAUUGAUGAAGCUUUUGUUGGCACCAUAAAUUGAUCUUGCUUCACACUAUCUUGAUGAAGAUAGUGCGAAGCUUUUGAGAUUGAUAUUUGUCCUCCAUUGAUGAAGCUUUUGUUGGCACCAUAAAUUGAUUUUGCUUCACACUAUCUUGAUGAAGAUAGUGCAAAGCUUUUGAGAUUGAUAUUUGUCCUCCAUUGAUGAAGCUUUUGUUGGCACCAUAAAUUGAUUUUGCUUCACACUAUCUUGAUGAAGAUAGUACGAAGCUUUUGAGGAUUGUAGUUGUGUUCCAUUGUUGAAGCUUUGUUUUUCCUUUUUUUUUUUUUUUUUUUUUUUUUUUUUUGGGAAAACUAGAAAUUUGAAAAUGUGGGAGAGACAACAUAUACAAAUUUUGCUUCCAUACUGUUAAGCGAGAGAUUGUGAUGCAAGCCACAUCUUGUAGUAGUCGAAGGUUUGGAUGAACCAUAUAAAUUGAAUUUGCUUCGAACAGUCUUGAUCAAGAGCGUGUGAAGCUUUCUAUGAGUUGUAGUGUUUGCAUUGUUACAGAGGAGAAAUGUCUGAAGCAGAUGCAAGAGGGCUGAAGAGCUUGAUCUUCGUAUACCAUGCACUGAAGCCAUUGUUGGCUUGCAAUAAGACUUUGUUGGUGACUAUAGCUCUUGUUAGGCAUAAGUGCUCCCUUAGUUGAGUUGUAAAGCUUGAUGGUUUUUGAUUAUUUGUGAAUGCUAGGAGUUCACAUGUACAAGUUGUACCACUCGUCUUCUGGUUAGUGGAAUGAAGGGUGGGUUGCUUUCAUCACUUGGUUGGUGGUACGAAUGUGAAUUCCUUAAUCACCUUUCAUCACAUUUCAUCACCUGGUUGGUGACAUGAAGGAGAGUACGCGUUGUACAUUUCAUCACCUGGUUGGUGGCAUGAAGAUGAGUUCCUUCUUCACCUGAUUGGUGAUAAGGGUGGCAAGUUUCCAAAUAAUAUUAGAGUACGGGUUGUACAUUUCAUCACCUAGUUGGUGGUACGAAGGUGAGUUCCUUCAUCACCUAGUUGGUGAGAAUAAGGGCAAGGUGUCGAGGCACAUUGUGGCAAAUGUCGAAUGACACAAAGUGUGUUGAACCCUUUCGAAGCACAGUUGGCUUAUGUAUGGAUGUGUUGGAAUGUAUGAUGUUUAUGCAUGAAUGUGUUGGAAUGUAUGAUGUUUAUGUAUGAAUGUAUUGGAAUGUAUGAUGUUUAUGUAUGAAUGUGUUGGAAUGUAUGAUGUUUAUCCUUUGUAUAGUCUUGUUGACACAUACUUAGAUUUUGUUUUGUAUUAGAAACAUUUGCGUUGAAGCUUCAACACUUGAGUGUUUCAUUGCUCAGAAUGUAAAAGAGUUUAGGGCCGAGUUGGCUAAAUCACCUUUUUAUUGAAUUCAUACCAAAUGGUUUUGUUACAUAGGAUGCCGAACGGCUGUAGCUUAACACUUGUACAAUGUGAGUCUAUUUGUAAUAGUACUUCAAGUCGUCAGCAUUCCAUGGAUGGCCAAAAGUCUUGCUGUCGGAGCUUCUGAGCUUGUAGGAGCCAGGGCGGCUGAUGCUGACGACCUCGAACGGUCCAUCCCAGUUAGGACUGAGUGUUCCUUCAUUCGGGACUCUAUCACAGAGUAAUCUUUUCUUCAGUACCCAGUCUCCACUUUGAAUGAGCGAGGUUUGACCCUUGAGUCGUAGUAGUUGGAGAUGCGCUGCUUGUAGGCGACAUUCCUCAGAUGAGCCUGAUUUCUAUGUUCCUCGACUAGAUCCAGGUUGAGGGUGAGUUGUUUGUCGUUUUCACUCUGCAUGUAGUUCUGGAUUCGGUAUGUUGCUUGCUCAAGCUCAACCGGGACAACUGCUUCUGUACCAAAAGCAAGUGAGAAUGGAGUUUCUCCUGUGGAAGUCCGAUAUGAAGUGCGGUAUGACCAAAGAACUUGGGGUACGAAUUCUGGCCAACAACCUUUAGCUUUGUCCAAGCUAGUUUUCAGAGUGCGCUUGAUUAUUUUGUUAACGGCCUCGACUUGUCUAUUAGACUGGGGAUGGGCUGGAGAGGCAAAACAUAAGUUGAUGUUAAACUUAGAGCAGAACAUCCUGAAGUUCUUGUUAUCGAAUUGUCACCCAUUGUCCGUGACUAUCGCAUUGGGAAUGCCGAAUCUGCAAAGGAUGUUCUUCCAUACGAAGUCUUCUAUUUUUGCCUCAGUAAUGGUUGCCAAGGGUUCUACUUCAGUCCACUUUGUGAAGUAGCCAACUGCAACGAUUGCAUAGCGGACCUUGCCCUUCCCUGCAGGCAUUGGGCCGAUCAAAUCAAGUCCUCAUUGGGCGAAGGGCCAAGGGCUGAUCAUAGGAGUGAGCGGCUCGGGAGGGGAGUGAGGGAUAGUUGCGUAGCGUUGACACUUAUCACAUGAGCGAGAUAUUCUGAUGGCAUCUUGGUGGAGUGUUGGCCAAUAGUAUCAUUGGCGAAAAGUCUUGUGUGCUAGGGAUCGAGACCCAGCAUGAUCUCCGCAGACUCCUUCAUGUAUUUCCCGAAGGACAAUUUCCGCCUCCGCAGGUGUAAGGCAUCUUAGGUAAGGCAGGGUAAAACCUCGCUUGUAGAGUUGGUCAUUAAUGAUCAGGUAGCGAGCAGACUUGUAUCGAAUCUGCUUAGCUUGGACUUUGUCAUUUGGGAGGGUGCCAUGGGCAAGGAAUUUAUAAAUUGGGGUGAUCCAACUAUCUCCUUGUUGUAAAUUGCACACUUCUGCGACCAUGGUGCUUGGUGCUGCCAACAAUUCGACAUGAAUUUUUCUCCCAAUCUUGUCUUCCACUGCCGAGGCGAGGCGGGCCAAAGCGUCUGCAUGACUAUUUGCCGCUCGAGGAACUUGGGUGAUCUGGUAGUGGAAGUGCUUGAGCAAAAGUCGUGUUUGCGCAAGAUAUGUUGCCAUGGAGCUAUCCUUAGCAUCAAAGUUGUUCGUGACUUGGUUGACCACUGAUUGAAAGUCACUGAAGAUAUCAAUUUGUUUAACUCCAAGAUGCUUGGCCAAACGUAAGCCUGCUAGAAGGGCUUCGUAUUCGGCCUCGUUGUUCGAUGCCUUGAAUUUGAAACGAAGAGCGUAUUCUAUCGCCACUUUGUCAGGGGUAGUGAGGACUAAUCCUGCUCCGCAGCCCUGUUGGUUGGAUGAGCUAUCAACAUACAGACUCCAUGCUGGGGUUGUUGAUUUUGUCUUCUGAGCUUCCGAUGGUAAUGAAGCUAUUGCUUCAGGUGUAGAAGCUAUUGCUUCAGGUGUAGAAGCAAUGUCAACAGGAUAUGUGAAGUCGGCGAUGAAAUCUGCUACUGCUUGACCCUUUUCGGCUGGUUUUGGUUGGUAGGAGAUGUCAAACUCACCCAAUGCUAUUGCCCAUUUGAUCAUUCGCCCAUACGUGUCAGGACUCUAGAGUACCUGUCGAAGAGGGUGAUUGGUAAGCACGAUGAUGGCGUGUGCUUGGAAAUAAGGGCGAAGUUUUCCAGCAGACAUGACCAAUGCUAGAGCUAAUUUCUCAAUGUUGGAAUAUCGUGUCUCCGCAUCUUGUAGGGCCUUGCUAGCAUAGUAGACGGGCCGUUCGACACCACUGUCCUUUCGGAUAAGAACAGAACUGACUGCUGAAGCCGAGACCGAUAGAUAGAUAAUGAGAGUGUCACCAACUUCUGGUUUGGAGAGCAGAGGGGCUUUACUCAUGUACUCUUUGAGGUUCCUGAAUGCCUUGGCACAUUCCUCCGUCCAUGUAAUGUACUUCUUAUUUCCCUUGAGUGCUUUGAAGAAAGGAGCACAUCUGUCUGUGGCCUUAGAGAUGAAUCUGGUUAAGGCUGCCACAUUGCCAGUAAGGCUUUGGAUGUCUUUUGAAGUUACUGGCUCUUUCAUGUCGAGGAUUGCUUUGAUCUUUUCGGGGUUAGCUUCAAUGCCUCGUUGGCUAAUCAUGAAGCCUAAGAAUUUGCCAGAUCCCACGCCGAAGGCACAUUUGUUGGGGUUCAACCUCAUUCGAUACCUCUUUAGAAUGGUGAAAGUUUCAGAUAGGUUGGUGAUGUGUUGGUCAGCAUGUUUGCUUUUGACUAGCAUAUCAUCAACGUAAACUUCCAUGCUCUUCCCAAUCUAUUCGGCAAACAUUGAAUUGACCAGUCUCUGAUAAGUUGCUCCUGCAUUCUUUAGGCCGAAAGGCAUGACUUUGUAGCAAUAUAGUCCCUUGUCAGUAGUGAAGGCUGUGUUCUUGGUCUGAGGGGUUCAUGAGGAUUUGGUUGUAUCCUGAAUAAGCGUCCAUGAAGCUCAAGAGCUCACACCCUGCCGUAAAGUUUAUAAGUCUAUCAAUGAGAGGAAGGGGGAAACUAUCAUUCGGGCAUCCUUUGUUUAGGUCGGUGUAGUCGACACACAUUAUCCACAAGACCUUUUGAAGCAGAAGACUUUCUUUGGUCAGAUUUUUCUUAACAAGGACAACAUUUACUACCCAUGUUGGGUAAUUGACUUCACGGACGAAGCCUAUGUCCUUGAGUUUUUCAACUUCUGCUUUCAUCGCCUCGUAUCGUUCAACAUCAUAAGAUCUUCGCUUCUGUUUUACUGGUUUGGUCUUGGGAUCAAUACUCAAGUGGUGACAGAUGAUAUCGGGAGAGAUGCCCGGCAUAUCUUUAUAUGACCAAGCGAAGACCUCGGCGUUCUCUUGCAAAAAGGAGAUCAGCGACAACCGAAGGGGUGGUGACAAAGUGGUGCCAAUCUUCACCAUGCGAUCUGGAUGGUCUUUGGAGAUAGAGACAUUCUCUAACUCUUCAGCGGGUUGUGCUUGCUGGGUGAAUGAGUCAUCUCGAGGGUCGUCGGGUUGACUGUUGCCAUCAUGAAGAUCCGAGUUGGCUUCAUCUGGACUGGUCUUUACUACCUGGUUAUGUAUAGAGAGGGUCUCCUUGAGGACAUGCAGGUGUUGUUGCUUAACUGAAGUGUUGUAACAUGAUCGAGCACUAAGUUGAUCUCCCAUGAUGUAUCCAUUGCCGAAAGGGGUUGGAAACUUCAUCAACAACAUAUGUGUGGAUACCAUGGCCUUGAGAUCAUUGAUGCCUGUGCGCCCAAAGAUGACAUUAUAUGCCGUCGGGCAAUUGACCACUAGGAAGUUAGUGGUAAUAGUAGCUGUGUAGGGGCCUGUACCAAUGGUGAGGGGUAAGUGUAUACUCCCUAAAGGUUGCACGAUAUCGCCAGAGAAGCUUAUCAGAGGAGAAAUCGAGCGAUCGAGCAAGUGUUCAGCUACAUUAAGUGCCUUGAAAGCUUCAGCAAACAUGAUAUUGACUGAAGCACCUGUGUCUAUCAGGAUUCGUUUCACAUCAAAAUUUGCUAUGUGAGCCUCCACGAUCAGCGGGUCGUUGUGAGGGUAGAUGAUACCUCUUUCUUCCUCAGGGUAGAAACAUAUUGGAUCCCAGUUAGGUUUUUGAUACUUGCCUCCCCUGAUGUCUUCCACGUGAAACACUUGAUGGCCAUGUCUCAAAGUUCGUUCACUGUUUUUCAUGGCCCUAUUGGAAGAUUCAGACAUGGGUGUGCCGCCGCUUAUGGAGUAUAUCACAUUCACCUGGCGUUGGUUACGGUUAUCCCUUGGAGGAUGAAGGAGGAACUGAUCAAUUUUUCCUUCACGUGCCAAAGCUUCGAUAUGAUCAUGGAGGAUGAUGCAUUUCUCGCCGUCAUGGCCAUUAUACGUGGUAGCAGCAAAACACGCUCGUGUUCUUCGUGGACUUGUAAUUUGGCUGUCUUGGCUUUGGCUUUGGUAUCAGGUAAGCUAUACUGGGGUAGAUGGCCGCGCAUGUAGCGUUCAAAGGUGUGUAUGUCUCAUACCUCGGGGUAUGGCCUGUCUUGACACGCGAUUGGCCCACUGCGUUGACUGCAUGGGGAUGGGUGUUAUUGUGACGAUAUACUGAGUUAUCGUGAUAGUGCCCCUUAUUCUUUUUAUUAAAAUGAGAUUGGUGAGGAUGGAAAUCUUUCCUUUUGCCCUGGGAUUGAUAUGUCUGCUGACUUGGCGAAGCAUUAAAUGAGGCCGGGGGGUGUGCUGCUACCGUUUGGAAGGUUGAGGUCUUUUCAUUCGGUUGGAUCUGGCCUCCACUCCUACUUGCUGAUAAGGGGUGACUGUAGGGGGUUUCCCUUGAUAUGUCCUUGCCUCGGCAGAGGCAUGGUUGUAAGCUUGUGCCAUCACUUCAGAGUAAGUCUUCCAAGUGUUGGCAUUGAUCAUGUACUUGAAGAAACAGUCACGUAAGCCUGCCGUGAAGGCCUUGAGGGCGGUCUUGUCAUCUGCCUCAGCGCAGCGGGAAUACUCAUGGCUGAAGCGACCAGCAUACUUUCGUAAUGACUCGUCCGGCUUCUGGUGAAUAGUGUACAAGUCAUCUGCGGAAUGCAAGCGAUCGGUCUAGAAGAUGUGUUGAGAGACAAACAACUUCCUCAACUCUUCAAAUGAGUCUACCGUCUCGGGUAGAAGACGACAAUACAGUUUAAAGCUCCGCCAGAAAGGGUGGAGGGGAAGAGAAGGCACCGUUCUUCAUCGGUGUGUCUCCGGUAUACCAUGGUGGACUCAAAGAGGUUAAUGUGUUCAAUCGGGUCUUCCCUUCCAGUAUAGAGUUGUAAGUCAAGCUUCUGCUUUGUCUUCGCUUGGAGGGGGGUGUUGAGGAUCCUUCUUGUGAGGGGGCCAGGCCUGGGUUGGUUCCAGUCAGGUAUCUCGGCUUGACGUUCAGCCUUCAACUUGUUUACUUCCUCCAGGAGCUGUAGGACGAGGGGGUCCUGAGUGGAGUCGUGCAUCACUGGAGUUUUCUUCCGUAAGUCCCCAUCGCCUCUUGGAAGUAGGAAAGUUUGAUCAAGAUAGCAUGAUUUUUCCUUGGACUCGUCACACUGACUCCUAGAGUGAGUAUGUCGGAACAUUUCCGAGUCCCCUGUACCUUCAUGUUCUUCUGGGACUUGUUGCCCAUUCCCUAGAUUAACUGCUGGCCUGGGUCGUGGGAAAGGACCGAGUCUUUCAGAAACUCUUGGGUCAUUGAUCUUCGAGCUUAUGUGGAUGGGAUUCUCUCGACGUUGCUUUAGGAAGUCUCGACAAUCGCGAUAGACAGCUUUUGAUCCUUCCACUCCUUCUGUGAGGAGGUGCUUUCCUCUACUCUUUCUGCUUCGGGUUGAAGCAGCUGGGUUGAGAGAAGUCUCAUGUUGAUUAUCACAUUGAUGUGUAGCUCGAUCCCUAUCAGGGAUGUCCGUGUUGGAUAUUGGUGACCCUCCGUGUUGGGGGGCAUUCAGAUGAUUGUUGACCUCAGCAGGGGCGACGAGCUUGUGUGCUUGAGCAUGCCUAGCCUCGUGAAGCAUCUCGAAAAGUUUUUCAUACUGCUCCUGGAGGACCUCGUUCCUCAUCACUAUCUUGUUGUUCUGAGCUUCUAACUCAUCGACUUUAGCUUGAAGAGUAACUCUAUUUCCUUCCUGCUUUCGUUGCUUCAUACUAGGUCCAAUGGGGGUGUCAUUCUGUGUGCUAUGGCUUCUUUCGCUCCCCAUGUUGGAGAGAGAUGUUUGGCCAAAAGAAAGUGUACGGGCGGUGGAAACCAGCUUAACAAAGCUGAAGAGAGUGGGAGUAAGUGUCUUUCCCACAGACGGCGCCAAAUGUUGAUGCACAAAAUCAGCGAGGACUUUGGUACAACAGAAAGUGUCAGGUUUGUGACCUUCGCUUGGUUGCUUCGAUCACUAGUGAAGAUAAGUACGUAAAUGAAUAGGGACAGGGAAGCAAACACAAGAUGUACGUGGUUCACCCAGAUUGGCUACGUCCACGGAGUAGAGGAGUUCUCAUUAAUUGUGAAGGGUUUACACAAAUACAUAGGUUCAAGCUCUCAUUUUUUGAGUUCUAGUGAAUAGUUUAGUACAAAAUGACAUUAGAGAUUAUUGUGGGAGAAUGAUCCCUAUUUAUAGAAGAAAGUUUCUAGUUUUGUUCUAACAUUGACACGUGUCGUGUUGUGAUUGGCUUCUGAUGUUGACACGUGUCGCGCUGUGAUUGGCUUCUGAUGUCGACACAUGUCGCAUUGUGAUUGGCCUCCUGGUUGAAGGGAAGCUCUUCUGGGUCCUUGACGUAUAACGUUGACCGGUGGUAGAUGGCCGCGCAUGUUGAUGUGGCAUCUUCUUUGGAAGUACUUUUCCUUCAUCCAUGGGUGGUAUCUUUAACCGAUGAAGAUGCACAAGGUAAUGUAUCAAUUUCACUUGAAGCUUACUUAGAAGUUUCGUGAUUACUCAGUGGCUUGGAUCUUGCAAGUCCCCAACCGAGGAGCUUCCCUCACUCGGGAACUUAGGGGAGCACUGUUUGUACCAUACUUGACCAAUCCCGAAAACUACUGAGCACCGGUCAACGUUAUACGUCAAGGACCCAGAAGAGCUUCCCUUCAACCAGGAGACCAAUCACAAUGCGACACGUGUCGACAUCAGAAGCCAAUCACAGCGCGACACGUGUCAACAUCAGAAGCCAAUCACAACACGACACGUGUCAAUGUUAGAACAAAACUAGAAACUUUCUUCUAUAAAUAGGGAUCAUUCUCCCACAAUAAUCUCUAAUGUCAUUUUGUACUAAACUAUUCACUAGAACUCAAAAAAUGAGAGCUUGAACCUAUGUAUUUGUGUAAACCCUUCACAAUUAAUGAGAACUCCUCUACUCCGUGGACGUAGCCGAUCUGAGUGAACCACGUACAUCUUGUGUUUGCUUCCCUGUCCCUAUUCAUUUACGUACUUAUCUUCACUAGUGAUCGAAGCAACCAAGCGAAGGUCACAAACCUGACACUUUAUGUUGUACCAAAGUCCUCGCUGAUUUUGUGCAUCAACACAAUGUAUGAGAGAAGGAAAUGAAAGAUGAUGUGAAUAAGAGGGGAGAAAAUUCUACUCAUGCUAAAAACAAAAAAUAAUGAUCGACUCUGUAGAUAUUGGCCAAACCAAACAUUAGAUGUGAAAAAUUAGCACUUUGCCGAAUAAUAUUCCGAGUGAGCAAAAUAGAGAAAAAUAUAACAAUGGCACACAGAAAAAAUAUAAAAGUUGAGGAGCCGGGUGAUAUAAUAUUAGACAUUGCAAUUGUAGGCUCGGACGACUCAAGGAGAAAAAGGUUGCUUGCACCACUAUAGGAAAAUUACAAAUCAACAAUGCAGAGGUAACGUGCAUGGUCUUCUCUUCUGCCAUGAAAAAUUCAUGUUGCUUUCAUAUAAUUAACUAAUUAACUAGUUAUUAGUGUUAAUUAUUCUCUAACAUUUCCUUCCUCCAUUGUUUUCUUCUUCUUCAGAUCAAAGUUUCAAUAGUUUUUUUUUAUUUUUUAAAUUCCUUUUACUUUAACAAUAUUAGCGAUUCCAAUUCUACUAGCUAGUUUUAGGUUGUAUUUUAAUUGGCUCGUGUGCUUCUGUUGCAGGACGUGUUUGGGGAAAAAGGAAGGAUACUUGAACAGGCAGGAGCUGUAGCAAAGGUAGCCUCUAUGAAAAAACAUAAUGAACUCUUUGUAACGAAACAACUUCGUUUGACUCGUUUCAUUUAAAUUUUUUGUUUUUCUCAGGUGCAAAGCGACGUGGUUUUGUUAAAAAAAAAAAAAAAACUAAAACGGAGCAACGCCCCACUGCAGAAAACCAAAAUGCAGCACCGCAGCACCAGAGCAGAGGGGUGGAAACCUGGAUUUUGGGAACGAACUCCGGCGACCGAAGGUGCGAACACACCUCCUUGAACCUCUGUGGCUUCGCCAAUGAAGGUCUCGAUAUUAUUUAUGAGGAGUUCAUGAUAAUUACUUUAAAGUGUUAAUAACAAUCCUCUUUCUUAUUCUUAUGCUAGUAGGUCUGGUACUUCCUACAAUCUUAAAAUAUGCAUAAAUUCACUCAUAUAGAAUGGGAAAAUGCCAUACGUUACCAUUUGGAAAUUGGCGAGACAUGAAAAAGUCCUUGAACCUCGCUCCCCCCCGCAAGGCAGGCUUAAACUCGCCCGUGAUGAGAAGACAUGUCUUUUGUGAAUGACAGGAAAUAGGACAAAACCAUCCCUUCUCUUUUUUGUUAGUAAAAGCAUCCCAUGCUUUCUAUCUCUUCAUUCCACUGACUAUUUCGAACACAAAACAUCAAUACAAGUAUUAGUAAAAUGAAAACUUCUUUCUUUUAUUCAAUAAUUAUUAUGGGUUGUGUUUAUUGAUCAACCUGUAAGUAGAUAAAACACUAAUAAUACAAUUAGUUAGGUAAAAAAAAUCAGUUUUUUUUUCAAGUUUCUCAACUAACCGGGACCUAAGUAUUCCCUUGGCGUUCUUACACCAACAAAGAAACAACAACGAAACACACAGGAACACAAAAAUUGGGGACCUCUUUUUAUCUACUUGCCCACCAUCACAAAUAUUACCUUUUUUUUCUUGUAUGGUUUGGUGGUAGGGAACGAAACCUAGCUACAUUCACUUCUUCUGAUUUGCAGUUGACUCUGGUUUUUACAUGAGUAUAUACUGAAGCUCGAUGGACCCCAGGCUAUAUAAUAUUCGAAAAUAGUCAUUCCUUAUUUGUCCGUCAAUCACAAUAUAUAUAAUCAAUUUGAUGAGUAAUUUUGCGUACAUGUAAAGUGUACGUACAAUCCUACAGAGAAUAUUUACAUUAGUUAUAAGGCCUCAGCAUUUGAUAUAACUAAAAGGCAACCUGUAUCAACUCAUUCUUCGAGUCAAGAAUAUCUGAGCUUCUUAGAGGGGGAAUAUAGGCUCUAAAACCAUGUCUUGGUUUUUUACAGUUCUCUUUCUUGUUACUGCUCUUACAUUUCAUACUCCUUCAGAGGCUAGCCAUGAGAAGAACGAUCCUUCUGCAGUUGUUGUAGGCACUGUCUACUGUGACACAUGUUUCCAAGAGGAUUUCUCACAUACCAGCCAUUUCAUUUCAGGUAAAUUCAUCUCAAAAUUUCAACAAGUUCUUCAUCAAAUUUAUUUUUAUAUUGUAGUCUGACUAUAAAAUAGACGUCCGUUCAAUGAUUUCCGUACACCUUCUCCUCCAUACACUCAUGUUUAUUUUGUAAUCUUUAAAUUCAAAUGAAUCAAAGAAAAUCAAAAGAAAGGAAUAAAAAGGGUACAAAAUGAAAAAAAAGAAAGUAAAAUCCAAGAAAAUGACUGAAAACCUAUAUGUAAGUAUUUCCUAUAUAUGAGUCAACUAUACAACUACGAAAAGUAUAUAACAAAUCAAUUUCAAAAAAAUCUCGCCUAACUCCUUGGCGGUAAGACUCUGCAUUCAAUCACGAUUUCUUUCCAACAGACAACGAGUGGUAGGGAUAUUAUUUCUCUUGAAGAAAAGUUGGAGGAUAUGUCAUUUGUAUGUGUUGAUAUCAUUGUCGCCAAGUAUGCAUGUCAUCAGUAACUUUAAAUGAUUUAUCCCCAUACAAAGUAUAAUAGUUGAUCUAAAUGAUUUAUCCCCAUACAAAGUAUAAUAGUUGGUCUAAACCCUAAUUCCAUAAAGGACCAUACUGUUUAAAUGAAAUAAUUGCUCGGUUCCAUUUUACCCCUACAUUUUCUGCUUUUGUUUCGUUGCAAGAGUUUAACUUGUUAUUUGGAAUAUAUUGUUCACAGAAAGCACUUGUUCAGCAAUUUUUGGCUACUGAAGAUGCACUGAACAAAGCUGCAGAAGCGAGGGAUCUAUGUCAAAAACUUAUAAAACGCUUGCAUGGCAAUAGUGAUGUAAUUUCUUCAGGAACAUCACAAAAUGUGGGCAGUCUUAGGCAACUUGAGGUAAAUCUUCCUUGCAUAUUAAAAGUAUUAACUACCAAUAGUUUGGGUGGAAAUAGCACCAUGGGUGACAGGUUUGAUUAGUUUCAGUCUUUUGAUCGUUUCCAUAGUUGUAUACUGUAUACUAGGUUACUUUUAGCCUGCACUGUGUUCUCAUCUGAUUUUUUACAGUCUUCCAUUUGCUUUGUGUAGAUGGAGGUUUGGGCUAAGGAAAGAGAAGUUGCUGGCUUGAGGGCUAGCUUGAAUACACUGAUGUCUGAAAUACAACGCUUAAAUAAAUUAUGUGCGGAAAGGAAAGAAGCUGAAGAUUCUUUGAAAAAGAAGUGGAAGAAGAUUGAAGAAUUUGAUUACCGCAGAUCAGAACUUGAAAUCAUAUAUACCACAUUACUAAAAGUUAACAUGGUAAGGAUCUCAGCUUCAAUAGUGCUUAUAAAUUUACUAGUCACUUCAUAUACUGGCAUUGUAUAAGCCAUGUCUGGUCAUUCCAUGAAGUGUCGGCUCCUUUUCUUUAAGUUCCAGGCAAAAGUUCAUAUAUAUAAUAUAAAAUUCAAGACAAAUUUUCUAGCAGCCCAACGAGUAGAUGGACUCUUUUUUUUUUUUAAAUGAAAUCCACGGUCUCCUCUUUAGAUGCCCAAAGACCCUAUUUAUGGUUAUAGGUCUGGGGUUAACUCACCAGGAGACUUCAAUUUCCCUGGAACUUAUGCAAAUGAUAUCACCAAUUGCAUAGUUUUCAUUUGUUAUUCGUAUCAUAUGGUAGAAUAUUUCAAUAGAGGCAGCUAGGAUAAUGCUUAUCCAUCUCUUUGUCUUCUGUCGGGAAUAUUUUCUAAUGUUAUUUUUGUCUUGGUACAUGGUAGGAUGCUGCUGCCUUCUGGAAUCAGCAGCCAUUAGCCGCACGGGAGUAUGCAUCAAGCACAAUUAUUCCUGCAUGCACAGUAGUCAUGGAUCUUUCAAAUAGUGAAAAACAUCUUAUUGAAAGAGAAGUUUCUGCUUUUGACCAAAGUCCUGAUAAUAGCCUCUACAUGAUUCCAGCAAUUCCACAGGUUUGUGUUGGGGCUUAAAAAGACUUCACUACUUUGGAGAUGUUUAUCUCAUAAAGAAGAAUGUAACGCAGCGGAAUUGAUAGCCAAGAAAAAAGAAAGAACACUCAGAGUAUUACACAAAAUUUUUAUUCUCACACAAACUUAGUACAAGAGGAAACACUCAAACACUCUUACACUUCUUCACUCUUUUUCUCGCUUCUUGCUUUCUUACUGACUCUCACUUCUUCUUGCUUCUUUGUUACACAACACCACACACCUAUUUAAAGGUGGUGUUCCCCGACUAUCCUUGUUACCACCGACUUGAGCAUUGCAGCAAUGACCACAUGAUUUGCCGCCUCUAGAUCUUUCUUUAACUUGGAUAUUUUAGGUGAUAACCAUUUGAAAUUGCUGAAAUUUUCCAGCUAUAUUAUCGACAUAGAUUGCUAGCAUUUGCACACAUUUGCUUUGGGUUAGAUCACUUGUCUUGGGCCAAAGACAAGAUUACCUUUUAACAUCCUCCCUUAAUCUUGUCUUGUGACGCCGAUUGAGUUCCUCAGUCUAACAAAGUCUUCUUGUUUGAGUGGCUUGAUGAAUAUGUCAGCGACUUGGUCUUGAGACUUCACGGAUUCCACUUGCACAUCCUUUCUUGCAAUGCACUCUCUUAUGUAGUGAUAACGAGUAUCUAUGUGCUUGCUCCUGUCAUGGAACACCAGAUUCUUUGCUAGAGCUAUUACAGACUUGUUGUCGACAUUGAUCUCUGUUGGCUCUUCUUGUGGCCUGCUUAAUUCUUUCAGCACGUUUCUCAGCCAAAUUGCAUGACAGAUACAUGCGGUAGCAGCUAUAUAUUCAACUUCACAGGCAGACAGUGUGACAAUUGGUUGCUUCUUCAACAUCCAUGUGAAUGCAGUGUCUCCCAUGAAGAACACAAAUCCAGUAAUGUUUUUUCUAUCGUCGGAAUCUCCUGCCGAAUCACUGUCGCUAUAUCCAACAAGCUUGUAGUUAUUAGAGCUUGAAUAGAACAAGCCAAAGUUAAUAGUACCUUUAAGGUAUCAAAGAAUUCUUUUGGCGGUCUUCAAAUGUGUACUUAUGGGAUUCUCCAUGUAUCGACUAACUAAUCUGACGACAUAGAGAAUAUCUGGUCUUGUGCAAGCCAAUAGUGCAAGCUUCUAACUAGACUUUUGAAAAAUGUUGGAUCUACGCUUUCUCCUUUGUCAUGCUUGGUUAGUUUGACUCCGCACUUCAUUGGCGUGCUUAUGGGCUUGCAGUCUUCCAUUUUGAACUUUUUCAAUACCUCAUUUUGUAGCUUUCUUGGGAGAUGAAAAUGCCUUCUUCGUUUUGCUUAACUUCAAUGCCUAGGUAGUAUGUCAUCAGCCCGAUGUCGGUUAUCUCGAAUUCUUUGGUCAUCACUCUCUUGAACUCUUCAAACAUACUUGGAUUACUCACGGUGAAGAUUAGAUCAUCCACAUAUAAGCACACAAUCAAAAUGUCUCCAUCUUUGACUUUGAGAGCAUGUUCAUGAGGGCACUUGAUGAAGUUGUUCUCCUGAAAGUACUUGUCGAUGUGACUAUUCCAUGCUCGUGGCAUUUAUUUUAACCCAUAGAGGACUUUCUUCAACUUCAGAACUUUGUCUUCAUGCCCUUUGAUUUCAUAACCUGAUGGUUGCUGAAUGUAGACUUCUUCUUCAAGGACUCCAUUUAGGAAAGCGGACUUCACAACCAUUUGUUGAAUCUUCCAUUUGUUUUGAGCUGCCAAAGAAAUUAGUAAUUGUAUCGUUUCCUAAUGAGCAACGGGUGUAAAUACUUCAUUAUAAUCGAUUCUGGCUGUUUGACUAUAACAUUUCGCCACUAGUCUCGCCUUGUGUCUUUCGACCUCUCCAUUGGCAUUUUUCUUUGUUUUGUACACCCACUUGACUCCGAUGGCUUUAUGUCAUUUCGGAAGAAUAGUGAGUUCCCAUGUAUCAUUUUUUUGAAUUGCUUUGAUUUCUUCAUCCAUUGCUUUCCUCCAUUUAGUAUCCUGCACUGCUUCUUAGAAGUUGACUAGUUCACAAUCAGCAAAGAGACAGAAAAAUGUAGGAUUAUCAAGUCUUUUAGCCACCUCAUAGAGAUCUUGUAGACUUCUUGUGUGUGGUACUUCUGUUUCAUUUAGACUCCCACUUGACGAUGCUGAUGCUGGUAAAUUGCCAUGAUUGGUUGAUGUUGGUGAAGCAGGUAGAGUAGUGGAUUCUUGUUGAUCUUCUCUUGCUUGCUCCAUUAUUGUUUGUUCAUUAUCUUCUUCAAAUUGAGGAAAGAAGUGAAGAUCACCUGCAUGCAAGCCAAAAUCCCAUUCUCUUUCUUUAUUGAACGUCACUUCUCGACUAAUCACCGUCUUCCCAUUGUUCGAAGUAUACAGUUUAUAGCCUUUUGAAUUUGUGUCAUAGUUGAUGAAGAUGAACUUCUCACUUUUGUCGUCAAGUUUGGUGCUCCUCUUGUCUGGUACAUGUACAUGGGCUAUGCUUCCAAAAACUGUUAGAUGAAAGAUACCUGGCUUUCUUCCACUCCAUGCUUCUUGCGGAGUCCUUCCCUACACACUCUUUGUUGGAGACCGAUUGGAUAGGUAGACAACAUAUGUUACAGCUUCUGCCCACAAUUCCUUAGGCAAUCUCUAGCUUUUGAGCGUGCUUCGAGCCAUGUCGAGGGAUAGUUCGAUCUUUUCUUUCCGCCACACUAUUUUGUUGAGGGGAUCUUGGAACUAUCAAAGGUCAACGAAUUCCAUUUGCUUCACAAAACUCUUGAAAUUCAUUCGAAGUGAAUUCUCCUUCUCGAUCAGAUCUCAUGGCUUUGAUCUUGCAACCACUCUACUUUUCUACAACGGCUUUGAACUUCUUGAAUGCUCCAAAGACUUCUGAUUUCUGCUUCAAGAAAUACACCCAGGUUUUCCUUGAAAAAUCAUCAAUGAAGAGAAGGAAAUAAUUAUUUUUAGCCCAUGGAACACAAAAUUAUAACUUUUUGGACAACAAUACCCUUCUCUUUUUCAUUAAUUUCACUUCGAAAAUUAAACAAAAUUAAUCAAAAUUCCAGAGAUCUCUCAAUUUCUGCACAAUUAGCAUAAAAUAUUCAUUAAAAAUCAAAAUUUACCUCAACAAAUCAACUCAAAAACUAAGUUCUCUUGUUUUUCCAGGAAAUCAAGCUUAUUUGAUCGCACUUCAAAUUUUUUGGGAAACUGAGUGACAAAAACCCAACAAAAAGAAAUUUUCUCUAUGUUUGAUUUCUAUAUUCAAAGAAGAAAAACAGCAAAAUGAAGAAAAUCCAGAUCAGAUAAAGCAUUCUUGAGAAAGCCAAAGAGAGGAAAUUUUCUGGGGAAACAAACAUGAAGAACAGAAGGGUACCGGGGAAAGCCGAUGAAAGGAAGUGGCUGAUGCCGUCGCUCGAGGGAUGGGACAGCGAGGAUUAGGUGGAAGAUGUGAGGGAUGACGUUGAACUCGUAGGCGGUGGCUCAGGUAAGGUCGAACUCGUCGGAGUGGAUGGGUACGAUUGUCAUUUAAUCUUUCGUUCCAUUUCAGCUUGAACAUACACCAAAUGUAGCAUGGAACCUCCGUUCCGUCCUGUUUCGUCCAGUCUGUGUACUAAACGGUACCUUAUUGAAUGAAAGGAAAAGGCUUCUGCUUGGCUUAAUACCACUUUAGUCCAAUUGUCUUCUUGUUCUAGAAAUUGACAACUCUAUGUGAUGAAAAAACAUCUCAUGCUUAUUGUACGGAUGAAAAGUGCUGCUUUACACUAUUACAUUUAAAGUGAUUAGAAAUUCCGUGAAAAUUUAUAUUAUCUCAUUGCAUUGAUGAACGGGUGAGAUAUAGAGAAACAAAAUUUUAUACUUUCAUCUACUACAUUGAUGCUUAGGCGCACCGAAAGUCACCCAAAACCCUAAAAUUCUCCUCAUGAAUUAUGUGUCUAAUAUUUUUCAGAAGUUGUUAUCAGCACUUGCAAACAGUUUUUUAUGCAUGUCGGUCUGGAAGUUAUCUAUGAGGGGUCAUGAUAAUUAUUUUAAAAUGUUAGUAACAGUUAUCUUUUCUUAUUCUCGGUAGGCGGCUACCUCCCCCACACAGCAGCCCUAAACUCGCCCGUGAUGAGAAGACAUGACAUGUCUUUUGCGAAUGACAGGGAAUUGGACAAAACCAUCCCAUCUUUGUUUCAAUAAUUAUUAUGAAUUAUCGUAUACCGAUUAAUCUGUAAGCAGAUGAGAUAGCUACUCAUUUUCACCAUAAAAGGAAAACAUUUCAUCACAAGAUUGCAGUGCGGACAGAGAGGGUUGUGGUUGUCGUAGAUAAACCUAGGUUUCGUCACAAAACAGGAAAUUGAAUUAAGAACAAAACAAACAGAUUGUGGGUAGGAAAAGACAGAUUUUUUAGUGUGUUGAGAACACUGUUUGGUACACCAAGUAUAAUAAUACAAUUGGUUGGAAACUUGUUAAAAAAAAAAAUUUCCAACUAUUUAUAUCAUAUGGUGUAUUAGACCGUGUUCCCGAUAUCAACGAGAUUUGGAUGUCAUGCAUACAAAUAAAGCCCCUUAUUACUGUCACAUUAUUAUGUCUUGAUAAGAUCUUUAUUUAUUCCCUGCAAGUACCAUAUGAGAAAUGCUAAAGAGACUCUCUAUGGAUUCUCUGUUUGUCACUUCAUGUUUUUGACAUAAUAUUUUAUAAUGUUAGCACCAUAAUUGACUGUAAACUGUAAGGUAAUAUAGAGUAUAUGAAGAGUUCCACUUUAAGAGUGUCUCCUUAGCAUUUCUCAUACCAUAUUCUGACACCAUAGAAAGUAGCCAUUUUUUAUUGUAAGUUUUAGUUUUCACACGUAUUUAUGUUAUGCGAGACAACCGCAAAUAAAUCUUUUUGUAUAUACAACUUUUAUCAAGUUUAAGAGUUAUAAUUAAGAUAUUCCCGGUUGUAUAUAUUUAUAUGUUUUUAGUCAGUAUAAUUGGAGCUCAUCAUUAGUGUGUACGUGAUAGAUAUCCUCGGUUACACGGCAGAAUCUCACAGGAAUGUCAUAGCCAAUAAACUAGGCUCCUAUGCAUCAAUUUUUUAUGUGUGAAGAGAAAACACGAAUAAAUACAUGCAACAAUCUAUUGUUGCUGAUUGUGUACAACUUCAGACUCAUGAAAUUUGUAGCCACUCUACAUAUCUCGUGUGUAAAGUGGUACAUCAAAUGUGUCGAACUUGAUACAUCAAGUGUCAUAAUGCAAUUAAUUAAAAAACAAGAUUUCAAAUCUUUAUUUUCAAGUUUCACAUCUAACAGGGACCCAAUUAUUCUCUUUGGGACUUUUACAGCAACAAAGAAACAACCUCAAUCUACUUGCCCACCAUCCCAUACCUUUUUUUUUUCUUGUCUGGUUUGGUGGUAGGGAAUGAAACUUAUCUACGUUCACUUCUUCUGGUUUGCAGUUGACUGGUUUUUCCAUUAGUGUAAAAACGAAGCUUCAUGGACUGAUGCAGUACAUGGGGAACAAAUAUAUUUAAGGUUUUAGUGACUUCUUAUCUCUUAAAAGCCUUUGUGACCUUUCUUUUAAUUGAAUUGCCUAGUAACUAUCCUACUCUUAAAUAUUUAGUAUACCAAUGUUUGUAAUUUCCCUAUUUAAAGGGCUCCAUAUGUAUCCUUAAAGUGGUGAAAUUAGUGAAUUAAAGUUAAUCUAAGAAGAGAGUGGGCUUUCUCCUCAAAAUCAAGUGUGAGAUUUGGUUGUGUCGAGUGAAUCCACGAUUAGUGACGUGAGUGAAUCCGUUGCCCCUGGUCGAGUGAUUCCCAGGUUCUAUCCCUGUAGAGACGUGAGUGAUUCCGUCCCCCCUAGUUGAGCGAUUCCCAGGUUACUACCCCUUGUCUUUUCGAGACCCAUGGUUUUUUCUGCAUCAAGUGGCAUCAAAUAGAGAUGGCAAUUCAAACCGUUAAACUCGAUAACCGUGUAUAACCGCCUGAGAGAGGAUUUGGGUAUGAAAAUUUGGGUAUAUUAUGGAAAUGGGGAAAAAACGUGAACUUUAAUCGGUUAUGGUUUUGUAUAUGAUUAUAAGGGUCCCCAAUCCAUAUCCGUCCCCAAAUCCGAAUCCGAACCGAAUAAUAUAUAAUAUUAUUUGGUUUAUGUAAUAUAUAUAUAUAUAUAUUGUAUUUGAGUGAAGCUAUACCAUCAUUACCAUAUUCAUUAUUCGCUGCAUAAUGUAUUUAGUAUAUUAUUCGCCGCAUAAUGUAUUACAAAAUUCAUUUAUUGUUAUUGUGGAGCCAAAAAUAAUCAUAGGGCAACACAUGGAUUUUGGUAAAAAGGACAAAGUUACUCCUGAGACACACCGGUUCUCCUACGCCUGAGCAGUGGACAGUCAUUCUUUAAUCAAGCCAAGAGUGUCCAAAAAAGGUAACCAAUUCCAAAUUAUCUCAUCCAUCCUCAUCUUAGGUAAUUACUUCAUAACCUACAAAUUAUUCCAUAUACAUAGAGAUUAAUUGGCUAAUUAAUGGAUUAAUUCCUAAUUAAUCCAUUAAUCACCAAUUAAAUCACCCAUUUUCACACCUAAAACCUCUAAGGCCCGGCCACCUCCAUUCCCUAUAUAUAUGACCCUAUUUUUUCUAAAAAAAGGGUUCCACACUCUUGCAAAACUCCCAAAAACUCUCCAAAAACUUUUAUCUCUAAAUUCUAACUUUGGCAUCGGAGGUUCUUCGGCCAAAGCCUCCCAUUCAUUGUGGGCGGGUGAGGCUCUUGGCCUUGACCUAAGGUGUUAAUUGUUUUGUAGGUUCAAUUUUGUCAGGUGCAAUUUUGUCCAAGAAGAAGAAGGCGGAAAUUUGCAUUCAUAAAUUGGUGUUUUCAUUGAGAGAUGAGUACCACACUCGUAGAAGACUCUCGCAUCCAAGGUUUUCUAUUUUCUUGUCCAUUUGUAGAUUUUUCGUACGUUCUUAUUAUUAGAAUUUUUUAUUUGCAAAAAUUCUUUGAUAAAACGUAAAAGAGAAGUACAAUGGCUAGAAAUUUAAAAAAUUCAACAAAUGAAAAUUUCAACAUUUAAGAGAUGGGACCACGGCGAUUCACGAGGCUAAAUGUGACAAUAAGUGGAGCAGCACCACAACCACAAGUUUCCUCCAUGGGAACCACCGUGGUGGCUGCCUCGGUAGCCACUCGCGGUGAGGUCCAUGGCACCAUUACCGCGGCGAGGUCUAUGGCACCAUUACCACGGCCUGAGUCGUGCCAUUAAAGCAAUCCCAAUACAUGUCACUUCAAGCCCAAUGUGUUGCCAAGCCGAGCCCUAGCCUCGCACCCACAUACGCCACACGCCGAGCAGCCUACUCACGUGGCCCAGCCUGCCCCCAUGGCCGAGCCUGCUCCCGCCGAGUAGCCUACUCCUGUGGCACAACAUGCUCUAUCUAAGCAGCCCAUUCUCGUGGCACAGCCUGCUCCCUUUGAGCAUCUCAUUCUCGUGGCCCAACCUGCUCUCGCAGCUCUGCUUGCUCCCAUAACCCUGCCUGCUCCCAUGAUUUCCCAAGCAGCCCAAGUCGGCUCGAGAAUAUCUCGACCAUCCAGAGCAACCAUCAAGCCGGGGGCAUUUUUACCAUAUUUCUCCACAGAUUUGACAUUUCCCAACUCAAAUCUCAUGCCUAGAGUGUUCCAUACUUCCACUGCUUAAUGAGGCACAUUCUUUCUAAGCUCUUCCAAUCUAAAUGGCGAACAACACUUGUCUCGACAAGUCAUAAAGUUGACGAGCUCCCUUGCACAACAGACGACCUUGAUGAAUCAACUUUUGCAAUGCACCGAGAUCUAACGUGCCUUGGACAAGGUAUCCCUAAGUAGGACAAGGGUAGACGAAUCUUUCCAGCAGCAUCCCGGUAAGCAGCUACUCGACCAGCCACGAGCCGAGCGUUCGGGUAGUGUACAUUUCUGAUUAGGCCCCCAAGAUAGCAUAUACUUCCAUCUUAUAGCACGGAGGAGCGUGCACUCUCGACUAGGCCUGAGGAUAAGUAUACACUCACGAUUGGGGCUACACUUAGAUAAUCAACAUGAGCAGCCUUCCAGGCAAUGCAUUCAUUCGCAGCUAGGCCCGUAAAGAAUAUCAUCCACAUCAUAUCGGAGCAGACAACACAGCAGACGGAAAGAAGCAGUCACUCAAUCCGGCUCAAGUUCAACCAGUAGCCUGUGAGUUACACACUCGCCUGCUAGGAAUAUACCACACCCACCGUAGCCGCGGCAUAGACAAGCCGAACAUAUGGAAGAACAGCUUAGACUAUCACAUCACGAUCAGGGGCAAUCAAGAGCUCUGCCACCCCAACAAAGGAAAAUUCAGGAAGAAGUAGAAAGGCUCCUGACCAAGCGAUUGCGCAAUUUCUCGCGCCAACCAAAGCCUCAAAAGGGCACAAGAUGAAACACCUAAUGAUGGCGCAAUAAUUCAGAGAGCAGCUCAUUGCGUUUACACCUUAACGUGGGUUCCACAAACAGUUCACCAAACAAGACCUCGCAGUCUGAAGAUUAUUUCAGUUGUCUAGCAGUCCAGCUUUCCUCAGCUGCACUCACGACAACGACUUCCAUGAUUUCCAGUGCGAAAGGAUAAACUAAUUGCUCUCCAGUGCGAGAGGGUAAACCAAUUCCCCGACACCCAUAUGGGUUUGCUCUCCAAUGCAAGAAGAUAAACUAAUUGCUCUCCAGUGCGAGAAGGUAAACCAAUUCCUUGACACUCGUAUGGGUUUGCUCUCCAGUGCGAGAGGAUAAACUAAUUGCUCUCCAGUGUGAGAGGGUAAACCAAUUCCUUGACAUUCAUAUAUGUUUGCUUUCCUGUGCGAGAGGAUAAACUAAUUGCUCUCCAGUGCAAGAGGGUAAACUAAUUGCUCUCUAAUGCGAUAGGGUAAACUAAAUCCCUGACAGCCAUUUGGGUAAGCUCUCCAGUGCGAGAAGGCUGCAUAGUUUAAAAGAUCAAAUGCUUGAAGAUCAACUAAGCAACAAAUGGUUAGGGGGCAGCAGCCACUUUUACACUUAAUAGUUCGCUCAUCCGACACUUCAUUUUCAGAAACUCUGAUCUUGGCAGCUUUAUCCUUGACUGCUCCAUCUAUGGCAGUUGAAAAAUCAAACUUAAGCAGUUUCCUCAUAUUUAGCAGGCAGCCCAAACAAUUGCCUAUUCCACGCCACUUCCUCGGCCCAUGUCGAACCAAUCAUUGGCUUCAAUCCAGCCGAGUUGCUCAAGCAAUGGCCCCUGCCACAUCACCUCCUUGGCUCAUGCUAAGCCGACUCUUGGCCCCUGCCAGCUGAUGUGUCGUACCACCCUGAUUACUGCCCUGUGGCAGCACCACCCAAGAAGAAGACAAGAAGAAAUUAAGUUUUUAUUACAUUGGUGCGGCAUAGAGAAGACGAAGAAAGCAACAAAAGACGGUCAUUUGCAUGGGCAAGAUGUAGAAGAUUGCUAAAUGAGGGGGAACAAAUAUCCUCUAAACUCUCUCUCUCUCUUGUAAGGUAGAAUAAAUCACUCUCCAAAGUUGAUUUAAUAACCCACUUAAGGUGGACUUAAAUAGGUUUUGAGAGAAAUUUAUUUCCCUUUCCUAGAAUGAUCUAAUUUCAUAUUAAAGAGGGAUUCUACAUCAAAACAGGAAGCGGUUCUAAGUUUCCUAGAGCAAAAAGAUCUUUACACCUGCUGCCCUUUCUUACGAGUAGCCCAACAGGUGUGGGGGCAUUUGUGGAGCAAAAAAUUAUCACAAGGCAACACGUGGAUUUUUGGUAAAAAGGACAAAGUUACCCCUGAGACACACCGGUUAUCCUACGCGCAAGCAGUGGACAAUCAUUCUUUAAUCAAGCCAAGAGUGUCCAAAAAGGGUAACCAAUUCCAAAUUAUCUCAUCCAUCCUCAUCAUAGGUAAUUACUUCAUAACCUACAAAUUAUUCCAUAUAAAUGGAGAUUAAUUGGCUAAUUAAUGGAUUAAUUCCUAAUUAAUCCAUUAAUCACCAAUUAAAUCACCCAUUUUCACACAAAAAACCUUUAAGGGCCGGCCACCACCAUUCCCUAUAUAUAUGACCCUAUUUUUUUUCUAAAAAAGGGGUUCCACACUCUUGCAAAACUCCCAAAAACUCUCCAAAUACUUUUCUCUCUAAAUUCUAACUUUGGUAUCGGAGGUUCUUCGGCCAAAGCCCCCCCCAUUCAUCGUGGGCGUGUGAGGCCCUUGGCCUUGACCUAAGGUGUUAAUUGUUUUGUAGGUGCAAUUUUGUCCAAUAAGAAAAAGGUGGAAAUUUGCAUCCACAUUUAUGUUUUAUUUAUUUAUUAUUAAACGUGGCUAUUUAAUGACAAAAUUAGUAUUCACUAAAUUAUUGUGCGCCAAUUGGAUGAAUAUAAUUUUUUGUUGUUGACGAAGAUGGAUAUAACCAUUAAUUGAUAGGAAAUCCGUUACCCGGUGGGUAUGGUUAUGGAUAAUUCCCGAUAGUUAUUUUGCAGUUAUGGAUAUGGUUAAUUAUCAUGGUUAUGGAAUAGAUAUAAGAUUUCCGUCCCCAAAUUGAACCGUUGCCAUCCCUAGCAUCAGUGCAGGUUUUCUGCUAUGGAGUUAAAAGGAAAAAAAAAAUCAUGUUGUUGAUUCUACACUUCUCUUCAAAUUUCAGUUCUCUUUGUCCUAAUCACCCAAAAGGUUACCUAUAAUUGGAAAGGUCUGCGAGUCCACUUUCUAACAGAACAGACAGUGCCUCAAUCAAAAUUUUUUUUGCAGCAAUUUGCUAGCAAAUAGUGUAAGGUGUAUGUUUUGUGCAAAAUCUGCAAGGCGCAGUUUCGUUUUCAACGAAGAGAUAUACCAGCAUCUUGUUCCAAUGAAUAAUAAUCAGGUAUAUGAAAACCACUCUAGUAUGAUAUUUAUCGAGGAAGAUCUGUUUUAUUCACAAAGAAUUGAUUGGAAUUUACCUCCACUAUAUGAUGAGUAUUCGGAGGAUGGUGUUUUGAUGAUUCCUAUCCAAACAGGUGCUAACGUUGAAGUGAAUGUUGAAGAACAUGCUUUGAUAGAUAUUUGCAGCUUGGAAAGUUCAGAAUAUGAAGGAUUUGGAUUUUUUCAAGAUGAGAAGAUUGAUAGUCCAAUGUUAAGUUCAUCAAUAAGCUACGGGCAUGUAAAAUUGUGGUCACGGCCAAGUGAUGAAGGAGCUGUUCAAAUUUGCUUUUUAAUUCUCCAGCACAUUGUUAAAGAUCAAGUUUUGGGGACAUUACAACCGAUGGCAUAUCGUUGGGAAGGUCGAAAACCUAAAUUCAAAUUAAGAUUAAAAAGAUACAAACUCGAGGACGAGUUUUUUUCGAGAAGAGUAGAAUCAUGCAGUGCAUGGGGAACAAAUAUAUUUAAGGCUUUAGUGACUUGUCAUCUCUCAAAACCUUUGUGACCUUAUCUUUUGAUUGAAUUGCCUAGUAACUAUCCUACUAUUAAAUAUUUUGUAUACCAAUGCUUUGUAAUUUCCCUAUUUAAAGGGCUCCAAAUGUAUCUUUAAGGUAGUCAAUUAGUGAAUUAAAAAUAAUCCAAGAAGAGAGAGAGUUUUCUCCUUCCUUAAAAUCCAGUGUGAGACUUGGUCGUAUCGAGAAGAAGAAAAUGAUGCAAUGCAUGGAGAACAAACACAUUUAAGGCUUCGUGGUUUCUCAUCUUCCAAAACUUUCUGUCACCUUCUCUUUUAUGAGUUGCCUGCCUAGUAACGAUCCUAUUAUUAAAUAUUUAAUCUACCAAUGCUUUGUAAUCUCCCUAUUUAAGGGCUCCAAAUGUAUCUUUAAGGUAGUCAAUUAGUGAAUUAAAACUAAUCCAAGAAGAGAGUGAGUUUUCUCAUUCCUUAAAAUCAAGUGUGAGACUUGGUCGUGUCGAGUGAAUCCACGGUUAGCGACAUGAGUAAUUAUGUUGCCCCUAGUCGAGUGAUUCCCAGGUUCUACCCAUAGAGAAGUCGAGUGAAUCCAUUGCCAUUGGUUAAGUGAUUUCCAGUUACCCCUUGUCUUUUCGAGACCCUUGGUCUUUUCUACGUCAAGUGGCAUCAUAGUAGGUUUUUCGCUGCAGUUAAAGAUCAUGGCUAUGAUUAUCAAUCCGUUUCAAGAUCACAUCGUUGAAGAGAUUAGUUUUGUCAAUUGAAAUUCUCCGCCAAUUUAUGACAAAUAUGUUGAUGACGAUGAGUUUACUGUUGAUGUGGCUCAUCAAGGAGUUUAUCUGCUGCUAGGAGAUGAAGGCUUUGUGGAUUGGGGUUAUCCACAUAAUAUGAGUACAAUGGCGGAAACAUUUUACAUGUAGCUUCAUAAAGAGGAACUAAGGUGUACUUGCUUUGGAAUAACAUGGAAGCGGAGUUCAAAGGAAUAUUUUGUGUGACAGAACAACUUGGACUGCUCUGGAUUUGCUUUUGCUAUUGUGGCUGUUGUGGAAAAAAAUUGAAAGGUAUCCAAAAGAUCGAGGAAAACAAAAUCAAAGGAAACUCGAGGACGAGUUUUUGUUCGAGAAGAGGAAAAUGAUGCAGUGCAUGGAGAACAAAUAUAUUUAAGGUUUUCGUGGCUUCUCAUCUCCCAAAACCUUUGUGACCCUCCCUUUUAAUUGAAUUGCCUAAGUAACUAUCCUACUCUUAAAUAUUUAGUAUACCAAUGCUUUGUAAUUUCCCUAUUUAAAGGGCUCCAUAUGUAUCCUUAAAGUAGUGAAAUUAGUGAAUUAAAGUUAAUCUAAGAAGAGAGUGAGUUUUUUCCUCCUUAAAAUCAAGUGUGAGACUUGGUUGUGUCGGAUGAAUACACGAUGAACGACGUGAGUGAAUUCGUUGCCCCUAGUCGAGUGAUUCCCAAGUUUUAUUCCCAUAGAGACGUAAGUGAUUCCGUCCCCUCUGGAUGAAUGAUUCUCAGAUUACUACCCCUUUAUCUUUUCGAGACCCUUGGUCUUUUUGCAUCAUGGACCCCAAGUUAUAAUAUUCCUAAAAUAGUCAUUCCAAUUUGUCUUGUCAAUCACAAUUAAUUUGUUGAGCUAAUUUUGUUGUGUACGUGUAAAAUAAGCCAAUCAGUGUCCUUUUUAUAUCUAAAAAAUUGUAUAAUCCUACAGAGAAUAUUUAUAUUAGGCCUCAGCAAUUGAUAUAAAAGGCAACCUGUAUGAACACAUUCUUAGAGUCAAUAAUAGCAGAGCUUCUUAGAGGGGAAAGUAGAUAGGUUGUAAAACAAUGUCCUGGUUUCUUACAGUCAUCUUUCUGGUCACUACUCUUACAUUUCAUACUCCUUCAGAGGCUAUCUAUGAGGAGAUUCCAGCCUUCUGCAGUAGUUGUGGGAACUGUCUACUGUGACACAUGUUUCCAAGAGGAUUUCUCAAAUACCAGCCAUUUCAUUUCAGGUAAAUUCAUCUCAAAUUUUCAACAAGUUCUUCAUCAAGUUUUAUUUUUCUAUUGUAGCCAGUUCAAUAAUUUCCAUACACCCCUUCUCUUCUUCUAUACACACUCAUGUUUAUAUUUUAAUCAUUAAAUUUGAAUAAAUCAGAGAAAAAUUAAAAGAAGGAAAUAAACAAAAGUGUACAAAUGGAGAAAAUGUAAAAUCUAAAUUGACUGAAAACCUUUAUACAGGUAUUUCCUACGAGUCAACCAUACAACUACGAAAAAUUAAUUAACACAAAUCAACAGCAAAAAAAAUCUCACUUAAACUAAUUCCUUGACGGUAGGAUUCUGCUUUCAAUCACGAUUUCUUUCCAACAGACAACAAAACGUUGGAAGUUAUGUCAUCGUAACUUGUCAUUUUAUUGUCAGUCAACAAAACUUCCUGACAUGAUAUGGAUGCAUUAUCCAUCAAUAAUCUUGUGGGGGUUUUUGUGCAGGGGCUUCUGUUGGUGUGGAAUGCAAAGAUGGGACUUUAACAAAACAAAGUUUCAACGCACAAGUGAAAACAAACAGCCAUGGGCAGUUCAAAGUCCAUCUGCCCUUCUCAGUGAGCAAAGAUGUCAAGAAAAUUGAAGGAUGCUCCGUGAAACUAAUCCGCAGCAGUGAACCCUACUGUGCUGUGGCCUCAUCAGCCACCUCAUCUUCCCUACACCUCAAGGCAACAAAACAAGGGACUUACAUAUUCUCUGCUGGUUUCUUCACCUUCAAGCCUCUCAAGCAACCCAGCUUAUGCAACCAGAAACCCAACAUUCAGAAUUCCAAGAAAUUAAAUUCCCAGAAGUUCUCAGAGAUGGCAUUCCCAUCCUCCUCUCAGGUGGACCCCAAAAUGCCUGAUCCCUCUCUCAACCAAUCUGAUCUCCUAGGUCUCCCAGGUCUCCCAGGUCUCCCAGGUCUCCCAGGACUCCCAGGUCUCCCAGGUCUCCCAGGACUCCCAGGACUCCCAGGACUCCCAGGUCUCCCAGGCCUCCCAGGACUUCCAGGCCUGCCCCUUGCUGCUGAAAAAACUUCAUCCAAGUCCUCCAACUCCAAAACUUCAAGGAAUGGGCAACUAGGUGAUAAUAAAGAAGUCAGCCCAUCCAGAUUCUCCACCAGCAGGUUCAGCACCAUGAUUCCCAACCUACCACCUAUCCUGAUUUCUGUUGGGUUCCUAUCCUAUUGGGCGUAACCCGUUUAAGUAGAAUAAGCCCAUUUAGGUCUUCUGAGUUGUGGUUUCCUGAAGUUCUAUGUAUUUAGGUCUCUUCCUUCUCUUUCGAGAAUUAUGUGAAAUAUUGAAUGUUUAAGUUUUAUCUGCUUUUCCCAUUUUCUCUCUACUUUUCCCUCUUUCUUCUCUAACGAGAAUGUGUCGUUCAUAGACAGCUACAAGUACGGUAAUAUAAUACGAUUCAAUUAUUAGUUAAAUACAAUGAUUAUAUCGUUGAAACUUAAAAUUUCAAGAUAAGAGAUUCAAAGAUAAUAUAAUAUAUAUAUAUAUAUAUAUAUAUAUAUAUAUAUAUAUAAUAUUAUAUAUAUCAAUUAUUGUUGAAUCUUACCCAAGGAUGAAAAAGGGUAUGGGUAUUCUUUGCAGGGGUGGAAAAACAGAAGUGGGUCGGCCAUGCUUUUACUAUGUGGGCCCCUUAGAGAAAACCUGCUAAAAAUGAACCGUUUCAACAGAAGGAGGCAAAUAGCUGUACGGAACGACGACGUCCCUGAAUUAAGGUCAUCUUCUUCGAGUGCGGACGAGCCGUAUCACAUACCUUUCCUGUUUCCAUCGAGUUUGAUCUACUUCAACUUCUGUUUCGACAGAGUAGCAGGGUAAUGAUUUUGGGAAAAAAAUUUAAGGUUAGGGUUUUGGAGAAUAAUUUUGUGACUAGGGUUUUAGGGUUUUGGAUUGUUUUCACAAAAUCAUUCUCCACUGGUGAAAUAAAUCACCAUAAUAAUAGCAGUAGGCUAUGAUUUUAACUUAAUCAGUACCCAAAUGUAAAAUUUUAUGCUUAUUUCCGCAAAUACUAUUAACAAUUUAACAUGGAGUUUUAAUUUUUUAUGAAAUUUUUGUAGUUGAUUGGGUUUGUAUGAUGAAUAUUAGUGUUUUGAGCCACACUUGUUAGUCCAACUUCAAGCAAAUUUGCAAUCAGCAAGUCCAUUCUCUCUAGCUGCGACCUUCCUUGCAAAGGGAGGAAUCUUAACAGAGUCUUCAACCCUUCCCCAAAAGCUAUGAAUAAAGUCUUUAGCGACGACGGUCCAAUUAAGCACUCUAACUUUGGCCUUAUUGGUAUCGGAACGGGCCUCCCUGGAUCAGUGACAGCCGCCGCAGCUUCUACUGCCGUAAAAACUGUUCUUCACGUACCUUGACACUAACCACUUUUAUGGUGACUACUGCGCCUUUCUUCCCAUUGAUGAUUUGACUGUCUACCUAAAUUCUCAUGCUUCCCAACCCUCCGCCACUACUACCACCAAUUUCACCUCUACAAGUACAAGCCAUGAUGAUUGCAUCGCCUUACCCCUCACCCGCCAGUUGCUGUACGCCGAUACAGAGACCGUUACAUAUGCCCCUUAAGUCCUUGCACAAUAUAAUAGAAGCAAACCUCGGUCAAAUAAUAUAAACUUGAACUCCAUUUUGAGCAUUGUGAGAUAAGGGAAUGUGCUAGAAACUAUUAUGUUAAAUUCAUUCUUAUUAAACCUUUCAAAUAUGUGAUGUUUAUUAAUAAGCAUUUUAGGAAUAUCUAUGACUAUGUUUUUAGAUUGUUUGUACCAUACUUGACCAAUCCCGACACUACUAAGCACCGGUCAACGUUAUACCGUCAAGGACCUAGAAGAGUUUCCCUCCAACCAGGAGGCCAAUCACAGCGCGACACGUGUUGACAUCAGAAGCCAAUCAUAGCGCGACACGUGUCAACAUAAGAAGCCAAUCACAACACGACACGUGUUAAUGUCAGAAUGAAACUAGAAACUCUCUUCUAUAAAUAGAGAUCAUUCUCUCACAAUAUUUCCUAAUGUCAUUUGUACUAAAUCAUUCACUAGUACUCACUAAAGGAGAGCUUGAACCUAUGUACUUGUGUAAACCCUUCACAAUUAAUGAGAACUCAUCUACUCCGUGGACGUAGCCAAUCUGGGUGAACCACGUACAUCUUGUGUUUGCUUUCCUGUCUCUAUCCAUUUACAUACUUAUCCACACUAGUGACUGGAGCAAUCUAGCAAAGGCCACAAACUUAACACUUUCUGUUGUACCAAAGUCCUCACCGAUUUUGUGCAUCAACAUUUGGCGCCGUCUGUGGGAACGACACUUAUUCUCACUCUCUUCAGCUUUGUUAAGCUGGUUUCCACCAUUUGUACACUCUCUUUUGACCAGGCAUCCCUCUCCAACAUGGGGAGCGACGGAAGCCACAACACACAGAAUGACACCCUUCUUGCACCUAGUGUGAAGCAACGAAAGAAGGAAGGAAAGAGGGUUGCUUUUCAAGCUAAAGUCGAUGAGCUAGAAUCUUAAAACAACAAGAUAGCAAUGAAGAAUGAGGUCCUCCAAGAGCAGUAUGAGAAGCUCUUUAAGAUGCUCCACGAAACUAGGCGUACUCAAACACGCGAACUCGUUACCCCUGUGGACAUCAACCAUCAUCUGGAUACCUCCCAACAAGGAGGGUCACCUUCCUUCGACAUGGGUAUCCCUGAUGAGGAGCGAGCUAAUCAUCAAAACAUUGAUCAACAUGAGACUUCUUUCAACUCAGAUGCUUCGACCCGAAACAGGAGAAGUGGAGGAAGACACCUUUUUGCAGAAAGGUUGGAAGGAUCGAAAUCCAUUUAUCAUGACUGCCGAGACUUCCUAAAGCAACGUCAAGAGAAUCUCCUCCACAUAAGCUCGAAGAUCAAUGACCCAAGGGUUUCUGAAAGACUUGGUCCCCUCCCACGUCCCAGGCCGGCUACCAAUUUGGGGAAAGGGCAACAAGUCCUAGAGAAACACGAAGGUAUAGGGGGCUCAGAGAUGUUUCGACAGACAUACCUUGAAAGUCAGUACGGCGAGUCCAAGGAAAAAUCACAUGCUCUUGAUCAAACCUUCAUACUUCCAAGAGGAGAUGAACAUUUACGAAAGAAAGCUCAAGUGGUACAUGACUCCACUCAAGACCUUCUUGUCAUACAGCUUCUUAAGGAAGUAAACAAGUUGAAGGCCGAACGACAAGCUGAGAUACCUGAUUGGAACCAACCUAGGCCUGGCCCUCUUACAAGGAGGAUCCUCGACACCCCCUCCAAACAAAGACAAAGCAGAAGCUUGGCUUGCAACUCUAUACUGGAAAAGAGGACCCGAUUGAACACCUUAACCUCUUUGAGUCCACCAUGGCAUACCGGAUGCAUACCAACGAAGAGCGAUGUCUUCUCUUCCCCUCCACCCUCUCUGGCGGAGCUCUAAACUGGUAUUGUCGUCUUCCACCUGAGACGGUAGACUCAUUUGAGGAAUUGAGGAAACUGUUUGUUUCUCAACACAUUUUUCAGACUGAUCGCUUACAUUUUGCAGAUGACUUGUACACUAUUCGCCAGAAGCCGGACGAGUCACUACGAGAGUAUGCCAAUCGCUUUAGCCAUGAGUAUUCUCGAUGCGCUGAGGUAGAUGACAAGAUCGCCCUCAAGGUCUUCACGGCAAGCCUUCGUGAUUGUUUCUUCAAGUACAUGAUCAAUGCCAACACUUGGAAGACUUACUCUGAGGUGAUGGCAUAGGCUUACAACCAUGCAUCCGCCGAGGCAAGGACAUAUCAAGGGAAACCCCCCACAGCCACCCCUUAUCAGCAAGUAGGGAGUGGAAGCCAGAUCCAACCAAAUGAGAAGACCUCGACCUUCCAAACAGCAGCGGUGCCUCCCUCUGCCUUACUUAAUAUUUUGCCAAGUCAACAGACAUAUCAAUCUCAGGGCAAAAGGAAAGAUUUCUAUCCUCACCAGUCUCAUUUUAGUAAAAUGAGUAAGGGACACUACCGCGAUAACCAAGGGUAUCACCACGAUAAUCCCCGACCCCAGGCAGUCAACACAGUGGGUCAAGCACGUGUCCGGAUAGCCCAUACCCCGAGGUAUGAGGCAUACACACCUUUGAACGCCACAUGCGUGGCCAUUUACCCCAGCAUAGCACACCUGAUACCGAAGCCAAAGCCGAGGCACCUGGAUUACAAGUCCACGAAGAACACAGGCACAUUUUGUUGCUACCACGAGUAUAACGGCCAUGACGGUGAAAAGUGUAUCACCCUUCGAGAUCAUAUUGAAGCUUUGGCAUGUGAAGGAAAAAUUGAUCAAUUCCUCAUUCACUCUUCAAGGGGUAACCGUAACCAACCCCAGGUGAAUGUGAUAUAUUCCAUAAGUGGUGACACACCCAUAUCUAAAUCUUCCAACAGGGCCAUGAAAAAUAGUGAACGAGCUUUAAGGUAUGGCCACCAAGUGUUUCACGUGGAAGACAUUAGGGGAGGCAAGCAUCAAAAGCCUAACUGGGAUCUAAUAUGUUUCUACCUUGAGGAAGAAAGAGGUAUCAUCUACCCUCACCACGACCCAUUGAUCGUGGAAGCUCACAUAACCAACUUUAAAGUACGACGAAUCCUAGUAGACACGGGGGCUUCGGUCAAUAUCAUGUUUGCCGAAGUUUUCAGGGCACUUAAUGUAGCUGAACACUUGCUCGAUCGCUCGAUUUCCCUUCUGAUAAGCUUCUCCGGUGAUAUCGUGCAACCUUUAGGGAGCAUACACUUACCUUUCACCAUUGGUACAUACCUUUACACAUCUACCAUUACCACUAACUUCCUGGUGGUUGAUUGCCCAACGACAUACAAUGUCAUCUUGGGACGCACAUGCAUCAAUGAUCUCAAGGCCAUGGUAUCCAUAUAUAUGUUGUUGAUAAAAUUUCCAACCCACUAUGGCAAUGGUUACAUCAGAGGAGAUCAACUUAGUUCACGAUCAUGUUACAACACUUCGGUCAAGCAACAACACCUGCAUGUGCCCAAGGAAACCCUUUCUAUACAUGACCAAGUCAUAAAAACCAGCCCAGACGAAGCCAACUUGGAUCUUCACGGUGGCAACAGUCAACCCGAUGAUCCUCGAGAUGACUUUUUUACCCAGCAAGCACAACCCACUGAAGAGUUGGAGAAGGUCUCUAUAUUAAAAGAUUAUCCGGAUCGCAUGGUGAAGAUUGGCACCACCUUGUCACUACCCAUUCGGUUGGCAUUGAUCUCUUUUUUGCAAGAGAACACUGAGGUUUUCGCCUGGUCAUACGAGGACAUGCCAAGCGUCUCUCCCGAUAUCAUUUGUCAUCGCUUAAGUAUUGACCCCAAAACCAAGCCAGUGAGACAGAAGCGAAGAUCCUAUGACGUUGAAUUUGUAGGAGACAAUGAAGGCAGAAGUUGAAAAAGUCAAAGGCAUAGGCUUCGUCCGCGAAGUCAAUUAUCCAAUGUGGGUAGCAAAUGUUGUCCUUGUUAAGAAGAAUCCGACCAAGGAAAGUCUCCUACUCCAAAAGGUCUUGUGGAGAAUGUGUGUCGAUUACACCGACCUAAACAAAGGAUGCCCGAAUGAUAGCUUUCCUCUUCCUCUCAUAAAUAUACUUAUAGACUCUACAACAGGGUGUGAACUCCUGAGCUUCAUGGAUGCUUACUCAGGAUACAACCAAAUCCUUAUGAACCCUCUGAACCAAGAACACACAACCUUCACUACUGACAGGGGACUAUAUUCACUAGUACAAAAACAUGUUUGCGCGACGAAAACUUACGCGACGCAUAAAAUUACGUCGCGCAAAGCCGUUUUGCACGACGUAGGUGUACGUACGUCGCGCAAAACGUCUUUGCGCGACGUAAUUUUACGCGAUGCUGUCCUUCGUCGCGUAAACUUUUGGUGCCAAACCAAAAGAAUUUACCGUUUUUUCCCAACUUUGUGCGACGCAUGCCCACUUACGUCGCGCAAAGUUGUUUUGCGCGACGUAGGUGGGGAUGCGUCGCGCAAAGUCAACAACUUUUUUUCUUUUCAUUUGAUCAGUUUGGGAGGCAGAAACUGCAUACCUAGCUGCAGCAACUACCUCCAUUGCCCAUCUCUCUCUUCAAAACCGUCUACCAGAUCAGGUUUGAAGUUUGAAUUGAUAUCAAUUCUUUGUAUUUUUUCGAUUGCAAUCCUUCCCCUUUGCUCUUAAACAUGAUGUAAACUGAAUUAAUAAUAUGUAGAUCCUUCAUGUGAUUCAUUUACGAAAUUGAAAUUGCAAAAUCAAAGGAGAUAACUAUCUUGCUGAUUUUCUUUUUCUCUAUACACCAGAUCUCUUCUUUCUGUAGCGACUUAUUUGUUCGUACAUAAAAGCAGAGGUGAUAAAUUAGUUGGGGAAGACAAAUAGGCUUAUAUCCAGGUGAGGAGGACCCUGAGCACAGCUUAAGAAAUUACUAGGAAUAGCAUUGUGAGGCCUAAAUGUCAAUUGGCCAGGACUCCAUACAUGCGCAAUUUUGGUCUUUAGUAAAAACAUCUAAAUGAUGAUGGGUAUGUCCUUGAUGAAGUACCCGGUUAGCUGUUUUUACGAAGGACAAAAUACCGUAUAUGUAUGGAUUCAAACGCCACCAUCAAAUGGAUAAGAAAUUAGCGUCCAAUCCAUCGAAGCAAUUCAUGAUGUCUCCAACAUGUUGGAAGAUUUAAUUGGCAAUGGGAAGUUAGACCCAUUGAGAUGACGAAGAUGGUUUUCUCACGACGUUAAGAGUAGAAGUGUCAUCUUGAGCUCCUAAUCAAUUGUUAUAUUCCUACUGUAUAUGGUUAAUUUAUGUCUCCACCACUCAUGUAUCAUUCUUUGCAUGCGAUCCAAAAAUAAGGAUUCAAUGACCAAAAAACAUGGUUGUUGCAAAUUCAUCCAAAUUCAUGGGAAAUAAAUUAUGCUUAUAUCUUUCUCAUGAUGUGUACAUAUUAUUGAAUUGAUCUAUUCAUUUGUCAAAAAAGUGAACUAGUCGUGUUUAAUUACAUCAAAUUUGUCAAGCUGAUGUUGCCUAGCUGGUAUUCGUGUCGCCUACUUGCCAAUACGUUGAAAAUACACUCACUACUUGCAUAGAAUUUCAUAAUUGUAGGUUGUAUUUGGCUUGGAGACAUUGUGUUUUUACUUUCUUUACCAUAUUUUGGUUCAGAAAACCAGCAGUUCCGAUGACUGGAGGAAAGUCACUCUUCAGCUGGUACUCACAUUAGUUACGCGAACAAGAGCUACUGCUUACGUAAGGUUAAUGAUGGUGCUUGUCUUACUAACAGUUUCACAAUAAGUGAAUCCGUGAUAGGUGACAUGGUUUUCUGAUAAGUUGCAGUCUUUUGGAUAUUAUGCAAGCUAUUGCAGAUAUGAAUGGUGCAGAUAUUCGUCUUACUCUUCAAUCAUUCAACAGCCACUGAGCACAGCUUAAGAAAUUACUAGGAACAAGAGCACGGCUUAGCGGCCUUCUUUUAGUGUAGAUAAUAUCAUUUGUUAGAGAAAUUUUUUAUAUAUAUAUAACAAGGAAGAAAAUGAAAGAGGACAAAUAAUAAGAGAGCAGACACACGAUCGCCUACAAACUUCCAUGUAAACCCAGCCUGCUUUAUUCGUUUUUUCAGACCGAUUAAACAAAGCACAGAACUUAUUCCUCCUUUUUUAAUCCCUUAUUAAUCCCAAGUCUAUGUCUUAAGACAUUCUUUAUCUUCAACUACUUGCAUGUUUGACAUAUCUUAAUAAUAUUUCGUGUGUAACAUUUAGCUCUGAGUACUUAUCAAACAGACAUUAAGAUGCUGCCAAUCCUCAGACUGCAGCCUAUCAUCAUUUGAACACUUGUUCAAGUUUACAGUUUUGAUCCCCUGUCAACACCUACUCCCUUCUUUGUUUUGAUCCAACACCUUAUUUCAAAUCUGCAAAUAGUCACUUGCUAAGAGAAUGAGCAAUGUAACUGUUGCAUUUAGAAGUCGGAUUGUGUCAGUCGAGUGUAAGCAGGCAAUGAGCCUUUUAGUAACGCCAUCUUCUUAUGUUCAUAGAAGUCAGCAGUCUGCAAGUUUAAGCACCUUGUUUGUACAGUUUUACGUUUGUGUACCUAGUUCCAUUCAUAAGUCAGAUUUUAUCAGUUGAUUGCAAAUGCAAUCAGCAAGCAGAAUAUGUCAAUGUAUUUAGUAACAAAUGUCUCAUGCUUAGUAAAUGACUUGCGUAUUAUCUUCGUAAAUUGGCUUUCAUAACUUGUAUAAGAUUAGCAGCAUCCAUAAAUUUCUGUAGGGAAAGUUUUGAAAUUGGAUUUGUGCAUGAUAUGGGAAUUUGUGAGGAUGUAUGUUUGCUCUUGUUGUCUGUGGUCCUCCCCUGCCUUUUUCUUUAGGUUUGGUUAAAGUCUAAGCUACAUCUCUUUCUUAUUAUAAGUCGCAUGCAGAGAGAGAAGAUGAUGACGAUGGUCCUGUAUGUAUAUAUAUAUAGCUACCUCUUCUUUAUUUUUAUGAUUAUAUGAUUACUAAUUAGUCAUUUUACGUUGAUCAUAUUGAUUAAUCUAGAAUGUUAAAUCUAGUAUAUUGUUCUUGCAGACUUGUAUUUUGAAGGUGAGCAUAUGUUGUUUAGGGGGUUCCAAGCUAUGGCCACCCCACUUCACUAAGCUGUGGCCUCCCAAGUUCAUAAAAACAAAGACGGCUAUUACAUGUUGCAAAGGAUGUGCUCACAAAAUCAAGAAGAAAUUGCAGAACUUAACGGUACAAAAUCAGUUUUUUACUUCCCUCUUGCAGUUGAUCAUCAAAUUAGGAAUAUCUGCACAGAUAAAACCGGUUAAAAAUUCUUAACAAAAAUUAAACUAGGAAACGAUUUUAUUAGAACUUUGUAAUUGGUUCUGUUUGUUCUUAUGGUAUUAGUUUGUUUCUUUUCACUUGUUACUGCCUUUUGUAAUCAACUUUUUCACUGUCAUUAUUUACUCUGAUUGGUGAUGACAGAGGCAUGGCUAUUGUAUCUCAUAUAAGAGGAGAACUAAUAAGGAGAACUAAGGACUAAAUUAAGAGAUAGAUACGUAAAGUGAAAUAAAGGGUGCAUAAAUCACUUUAUAUUAAAAUGAAGUCUAAGAGACAUUUAACUACAUUUGAGAUGUCACAGUGUACAUAAAUCACUUUAUUUUCUUCGCUAAAUUAAUUUUUAUUAAUUUUAUCUAUUUUAUUUAGUUUUAGUAAUUAUUGUGAUUUAGUUUAUUUGUAUGCACAUAUUUUUGUACAUCACCUACAAAAUUGUUUUGUGUUGUACUAAGUUAAUACUACUUAACUUCAUACCCUUUUCUCAGGAAAAGCUUAGUUUCCCGUUUGAGAAUUAGUUGGAUUUCGUGCAUGGAUGUGAAAGCAUGACUGCGGUCCAAUUAAUUAUUGAAUUGUCCCAUUUUUUGGACAGUUUGGGAAUGCCCUAGUUAUGUGUUGUAGUUUGCGGUCCACAGAUUAGCUUUCGAUAGUGGAAAUUUUGGUAACAUUUCCCGAUGUUCUUUGAGUACACGGUGGAUAUUAUGUAUCUACGACGUGCACUUGAAGAACUGUAAGGAGAUGCUGGGAAAUUAGCCCACGUCGAAAUUUAAUCCAUUGGAAUCGUAAAUUACGGCACAUAACUGUGCAUUCUUGAAUGGGAUAGGGCCCUGACCAGAGGAAUAAGGUGACAAGACAAUAGUUUUCAUGUCCUAAUCUGUCUCAUAAUUUGCUUCAAUUGUACUUAAUUCCAAUUUUUGAAUAAAAUGAAUGAAUGCCAGCAGCGGUGUAGAUUUUCAAUGGCAUCCAAUUUCAUAUAGUUUAAUUAGUUAUAUCUCCAUUUACCUAUAUACCUAUUCAUUCCAAUUUUAUAUGAUCGCUUGAUGCAAAACUUUUCUAGAUAUUAUUAGUUGUAGCAGUUGCAUCUCUUAAAGAUCUAUACAACUUAUUCUCACUGGUUCACGGUGGAUUUUGCAGUUACUUCUCGAGCGUGGGGAAGCACGAAGGGUUAUUCCUUGGUAACACAUUUAUAAGGAUUCCGUUGUAGACGUUGUUGUAAUUCUUGUACUUUUAUUCGGAUUGCAGACAAAAUGGACAAACAGUGGAUACAUAAUCAUAAUAGAUGUGUUGUUGAGUACUUGGAUGGAAUACAUGCGUUCAUUGAAUUCGCAACUAGACAUAACCUAGGUUCAACUCAUAUCCGAUGUCCAUGUAGGAGGUGUAACAACUCAACGUGGGAGACAUUCAAGAAUGUUUGAUUUCAUUUAGUAAGAAAUGGGAUGAUGGAGACCUAUACUACUUGGUGUCAUCAUGGAGAACGAUUAGACCAAGCUUCGUCUUCAUACGUGACACGAGUGGAAACUGUUGAAUCAAAUGUGGAUCCUAAUGAACAAGUUAUGAAUAUUCUAAAUGACGUUUAUUCAUACGCCUCGAGCAACACCAAUCAGGAAGAGGGAGAAGAGGGAGAUGACGGCCGUCCAACCAUGGACAGUGAGGCAUUCAAAAACUACGAAAAACUAUUGAAAAAUGCCAAGCAAGAAUUAUAUCCAGGUUGUGAGAACUUUUCAAUGCUCACAACAAUUGUGGAGUUGAUGCAUGGCAAGAUCAAGUUUCGUUUGUCAAACAAGUGUUUUGAUUACUUUUUGGGAGUUAUCAAAAGGAUGGUUCCAAAGGAGAAUUGUUUACCUAAAGAUCAUAAAAGUGCCCAAAAAGUGUUGAAGGGUCUCGGAUUGGGGUAUGAAAAAAUUCAUGCAUGUGUAAAUAAUUGUAUAUUGUUCUAUAAGGAGAACAAAGCAUUGGAUAAAUGCCCUGUCUGCAAUGAGCCGAGGUUUAAAAUGACAUCACAGAAUAGAAACACCAAGAUUCCACAAAAAGUAAUGCGCUAUCUUCCAUUGAAGCCUAGGUUGCAGCGAUUGUACAUGUCGAUGCAUACCGCAACCGACAUGAGAUGGCAUAAAGAAGGAUGGGUAAAUGACGAUGUUAUGAGGCAUCAUGCAUAUGGAGAGGCAUGGAAAGAAUUCGAUCGGAUGUACCCUGAUUUUGCAGCUGACCCGCGCAACGUCAGAUUGGGACUUGCCACCGAUGGAUUUAAUCUGUUCGGGGUUUUAAACCUAAUGCACAACACUUGGCCGGUCAUCGUGUUUCCUUAUAAUUUGCCACCUUGGAAGUGCAUGAAAAAAGAAUACAUGAUGUUAAUUCUAUUAAUUAACAAAGAUCCAGGAAAGUCCAUUGAUGUUUAUUUGCGGCCGUUGGUUGAUGAGCUAAAAGAUUUAUGGGAAAACGAUGUUUGUACAUACGAUAAAUAUACUGGGCAGAUGUUCACCAUGCGAGCGGCAGUGAUGUGGACAAUAAAUGAUUUUCCCGCUUAUGCAAUGGUUUCUAGAUAGAUGACUAAGGGUUAUUUGGCAUGUCCAAUAUGCAAGGAGAACGUAACAUCAUCUUGGCAUGCAAGAAAAGUUUGUUAUCUUGGUCAUCGUAGAUGGCUCCCUUGGGACAACGAGUGGCGUCAGAAUGAUAAAUCCUUCGACAGCACAAAAGAAACUCGGCCAAGACCAAGAGAAUAAUCCAGAGAUGAGAUUUUGGAUCAGUUAAACCGUUUGGAAUUUGGUCAUUUCGGCAAAGGGGUCAGUAACCCCAAACCAACUACACAUCUGAACUGGACACACAAGAGUAUGUUAUUUGAGCUUCUGUAUUGGUCAAAGUUAAAAUUGAGACGCAACCUCGAUGUUAUGCAUAUUGAGAAAAAUGUGUUUGACACUUUGAUCGGGACAAUUCUAGACAUUGAAAGAAAAACAAAAGACACGAUCGAAGCUCGCCUCGAUUUGGAACGAAUGGGUAUUAGGUCAUCCUUGUGGAUGAAGAAUGUCGGUGGUACAUUGAAGAAAGGCCAUCCCUUUUUUACAUUUAAGCCGAAUGGGAAAAAAGAGUUUUUCAACUUUAUUUCUUCUGUAAAGUUUCCAGAUGGGUAUGCUUCCAAUAUCUCGCGUUGUGUGAACGUGAAGGGGUGUAAAUUUCAAAACAUGAAGAGUCAUGAAUGUCAUGUGAUACUCCAACGCCUUCUUCCAGUUGGUAUUCGACACUUAUUGCCUCUUGAUGUGGUGAAACCAAUCGUGUUGUUGUCGAGAUUUUUUUCGCAGUUGACUGCAAGGUGUUUGUGGAAGUCAGAUGUUAAACAAUUGCAGGACGACAUAGUGAACGUCUUAUGCAAGUUCGAACAGAUAUUUCCCCCAGCUUUCUUUACAAGUAUGAUUCACGUGAUGAUUCACUUGCCAGAUGAGGCAUUGCUUGCCGGACCAGUGAACUGUCGAUGGAUGUAUCCAAUAGAAAGGUACUUAAUUAAGCGUCUAUAUAUAUAUAUAUAUAUAUAUAUAUAUAUAUAUAUAUAUAUAUAUAUAUAUAUAUAACAUAUUCAUGAUCAACGAACGCUUUGAAUAAUUUGUAGCAUACCUUUUAUUUGUGCAUAUAUCUUGGUGAGUUGAAAACUUGUGUUCGAAACAAGGCAAAGCCCGAAGGAUCACUUGUGGAUGCAUGGGUCACAUAUGAGUCACUUACUUUUUGUGCAAUGUAUCUUGAAGAUGUUGAGACAGCUUUCAAUCGUCCAGAACACAAUAAUGAUGGUGGUGUCAGAAAAGAGAAACUGUCUAUUUUUCCCCAAAUUGCACGACCAUUCGGCGAUCCUGUAAAAGACGAAUCGUUUACCAAAAAGGACAUGGAGGUAGCGCAUUGGUUCAUACUCAACAAUUGUGACGAGGCUUUGCCAUACCUUGAAGAGCAUGAACAAUUGAUGAAGCGGGAACAUCCUUCACAUUUAUAUGCCAAGAAGCACCGUGACUUGUUUCCUUCGUGGUUUCAUGCACAUGUAAGUUGUAUGUGGUUUGAAUUGAGCAUAUUUUCCAACUUGUUCAUGCCCGUCUUUAAAUUUGGUUAUACUAACAAGUUAAUUUUUUGUAUAUGUUAUAUUAGAUGAACAAAUUGAAGGAAUUGAAUUCACCCUCUUACGAUGAAGAAUUAUAUAACUUGGCGAGAUGACCGCUUCACGUUGAAUUGUUCUCAGGUUGUCAUGUCAACGGGAUCAAGUUCUUGGGGGAAACACGUGAUGACAAGUUGUCUACUUAAAAUAGUGGUGUCCAUGUCCCAGGUGCGGGUGAUAGUGAAGACAUUGAUUUUUUUGGCAAACUAACUAGUGUAGUACAAUUGCUUUACAAAGAUAGGUGUCAAGUGAUAUUGUUUAAGUGUCUUUGGUUUGAUACAAACCCACAUAACCGAACGAGUGUUAAGCGAGACCAUGGUUUACUAUCAGUAAACAUUAUGAGACAUUGGUACGAUGAAGACCCAUACAUUUUGGCAACAAUGGCAAAACAAAUAUUCUAUCUAGACGACCCUAAAGCUGGCAAUGGUUGGAAAGUUGUUCAAAAGAUUGAUCGAAGAGGGCUAUAUGAUAUUCCAUAACAAGAUCAUGAUGACAAUUACGAUAACGUCGCUGACCAACAGUUAUCAUCUUCGAUAGAAAUUGGUGAAGAAACACUCCGGGAUACUAAUAUUGUCCAAGAACCGUUUGACGUAGUUGGAUUUCCUGAAUUCGAAAUAUCAAUUGACCUUGGUGAUCUACCUCAAUACAAUGCAUCGGAAGAGGAAAACGAAGAUGAAGACAAAUGGGAAUCCGGAAAUGAUAGUAGUGAGGAUAGCGAGAGUAAUUAUUGUAGUUCAGAUGAUGAUUAAUAUAAACUUGUAAAGAAAAAUCGUGCUUUUUCGUUUAUAACCGUCAAAAAGUUUUGUCCCUUUACAUAAUCUCUGAAUGUUUGUUUUUUGCAAUUUUUGGCGUCUGCGAUCUCGAAGCAUAUACAAACAAGUUUGACGGUUGGAUAGUUGAAAUUAGUUUUGUACAAUGCGUUUCCCAUCAAGUUCAAUGGUAUAUAUAUUUACUAAGUUGAUUUUAAUUUAUUUAUUUUGUACUUAUAACACUUAAGAAAUUUAAUGAUAUAUAUGUAAAAAAAAAAUUAUUGUGAGUUUUUGUUAGAAAAAUAUAUUAUUGUGGGGUUUAUGUAAAAUAAAUUUGAAUUUGAAAGAAGUAAAAUCACAUUUUUAGUAAUUUUUAUAAUAUUUAAAAAAAAAUAAAAUAAAAAAACCUUGCGCAACGUCUUAAUGUAGUCGUUGAGCAAAACUACUUUGCGUGACGUCAAUUUGUAUACCUACGUCGCGUCAUGUGAUAAUUUUGGCGCUCUAAUAGUGAAAAAUAGGCGUUUGUUUUCAAUUUUCCAAGUUUGGCAAACUUUUGAACCCCAUAGAUCUCUCUCUUCCCGUAUACCUCUCUCUUCCCACUCGCUCUUUCUUUCCCGCACGUAGACAUGCAUCUCUCCCUCUCGCUCUUUCUUUCCUGUACGUAGACCUGCAUCUCUCCCUCUUUCUCUCUCUUUCCCGUAGACCUCUCUCUCCUCUUCGCAACCUUCAACCCCCAAAUCUCAAAGCCGACGCGACGUAGGUUCCCAAAAUCAAGGUAAGGGUUUCUCAUUUUCGAUGGGUUUUUGUUAUUUAGGGUUUAGGGUCAAAUUGCAUGUUGAUUUCUGAGUACUUUGUCGAAAUCUCCAGAUAAAAUUGGAUGUUGGUUCUGAUUUGAUAGGGUUUCAGAUUUGUGAUGGUUUGAGGUUAUGUGGGUCUGUUGAUUUUGUUCAGUUGAUAGGGUUUGAGGUUCUGAUUUAGCACAGUGGUGGGUUUUCUCGAAGAACCUUAAAAGCAUGAAUCCUUACUCUGUCGUCCCUGGUACAAAAUUUCAACUUAUUUUUGUAUAUUUCUGAACCAAAUAUAUAUAUAUAUAUAGCAUCUUGAUCUUCUUCUUCACAGGGCAUGUUCAUCGGCUGUGAGGUGGUGGUUAUCUGUCAGUCUCCUGGUGAAAUUCUCAAUCUUUCUCUCUUAAUUAAGUGUUAAUCAUAGCUUUUAAACUGUUUUUCUUUCACUCAUCAGUCAUCACAUCCACACUCAGCUCAUCCUUCUCCAAAUUAAACUCAUUUUCUGGGUUUUUUUUUCUUUCAAAAGGGAAAUCUCAGUCACAAGGACAUGUAAAGUUCAUUACCCGUAAAUUUCAUUUGGUUUUUGUUACAAAUGGAACAGGAAUGGCUUACUUGCAAUUUAGGACUUGUAAUUUGAUAAUAAUAAAAGAAGGACGUCUGUUUAUUGAGAGAUGCCUAGGACUGGUUUGAUGUUUGUCAACGAAAGUAAGCUUUGAAUUUCAGUAGGCGGUGCUACCAAGCUUCGAACUUAAUUUGACCUACCACCAUUUGUUUUACUUCGAAUUAAAACAUGGAGAGAUCCUGCUAUAGAUUUGUAAAUAUUAUGCUAGCAAAGUCUUUUGAGCAUUAUGAUUUUCUUGUCCUGUAGCAGCAUAAUAAUGCUCAUAUAUGAUGCUAACUGUUACAUCCCAGACUCAAUCGUCAGUUAAUUAUAUUAUGAGUGAGUUCGGGAAUAACAUGAACCUAAUAGGUAAAUACCUCAGAAAUUUUCCUUUUGCUUAUUUAAUUGGCAUUGACUUGCAUAUAGUAUUCAUGCAUGUUAGAUGUAUUCUGGAAUAUCUUGUUCUUUUAAAUAGUUGUUGUGAAAAACCUGUAUUCUUGUUCUGAAGAAUGAGCCCUGCAUAUGGCUUUUCCAGAUUUGUAGGAAGUGUUAACUUUUCACAGGGGAUUGAAACUAGAAAACAUUUGAUGCACAUACUUAUAUAUGAUAUGCCUGAUUGCUUAACCCACUGCCUCAAGCUAUUACGGUAUUACCUUAGAUGAGAAUUUUACUUGAAUAGACUUAAGCAGUGCAGGACCCGACCAUUUAAAUACUGUACUUUUGAGCAGUUGCAUUAUAACCCACAUAUCCCAUGUAAAGUUUAUUCUAAACCUUUCAUGAGGUGGAACAAAUUAGUGAAAAAAUCUAUCAUUUUUGCUCACAAAAUACACAUACUGCCACAGUUUAACUAAUUUGAUCCUUAUAUAGUGAUUCUCUUUUAGGGUUUGUUCAGAUGCAAGAAAGGAUUAGUUUAAAUAUUCUUGUAUUGAUAUUAUUGCUCUAAUUACUUAUAUUACUUUGGUUGCUAUUUUAUUAGUUUCAAAUGCAAGAAAUGAUUAGUUUCUAAUGUUAUAUUUGUAUGGUUCAUAAAGUGUAUAGAUGUCGCAGUUGAUCACUCGUCGUCGGAGUGUGUCCAAUGCAGCUCCUGCAUUAUCAGCAUCUAGUGCUCCAGGUGUGAGUGCUCCAAGCGUGAGUGCUCCAUUGAUUGGGGAGCCUACACCCCUUACGGAGGCUACUCCUACGACGUCCCAGGUGCCCGUAUCAUCAACGUCAUCAGUGUCAGUUCAACCCCUCAGUGCACGGCGGCCUCCCUAGCGCCGCCGCGAGCCGGAGCCUUCUGAUCACACUUCCUUGUCCUCCAGAGUCGAGGAUGGGGCCUCCCAACCAGGUAGUUUUUUUUCUAAUUCUCACUACGUUGCAUUUUUUUUUCAUUUCAAAACUAUUACUUUUAUGAUUGUGAAAAUGUGUUGCGGGUUGUGAAUUACUGUUUUAAGGUACUUUUAUGAUUAGGGGAGGUUUUGCCGAAUUUUUUGUACAAAUUUAAGCUUAGGGUUUUUACCAUUAAAGUUUUUUUGGGUAGCUAAAAAAAAACACCAAGGGGCCCAAUCGAAUGUUGAAGGAGCUACAGCUUGUACGUAUGUCUGCCUCCUUGAUCAAGAUUGCGUAUGAUGAGCGACAUUGUGGAGCGGUUACCUCACAGCAGCAUAACAGCGUCGUUAAUUGCUGUGGUUUUAUUAUUAGGAAUUUUUGUCCUAUGCGGUGGGAGAGUUGGGCAAAAAUUCCCGAUGAGACGAGGACCCUGGUGCGAGAUAAUUUGGAGGUUAGUAAAUUAAUUUUUAGCAAAGUCAACAUCUUUCUCUGCUUAAACUAUUGCAGGGCCAUCAUCUUGAUUAAUAAAGUCAAGAUCUUUCUCUCAAUUUCUGUUUGGUUGCUAAGAAAAUGUAGGGGGGAAAGAGAAAUCAGGUGCAUUUCAUUGUUUUGCACCUGAUAGCCGAGUGUUGUUGUGGUGAAUAAUUUGGUCAUGUAUUUUGCACACUCUUCUUCUAUUCAUAAUUGGGAGCAGGUGUGGUCCUUUAGUUUUGGUUAAUUUCAGUGAUUUGCGGCACUGUUCUUUGUUGUCUGAAUGCUUCAUGGGAAGGAAAUUGAAAAAUAAUUCCGUGAACCAAUGUUAAAAUAAUGAUUAUGUUGGUUAGGUGGAAGGAUUACUAUCUUAUCUGAUGCAUAUUUAUGGGUUUUUAGUUUUGGUCUACGUCCUUGCUUAAUGAUUUAUGAUAGUGUUUAAGUGAGUAUGCAUGCCGUCUCUAGUACAUUGCUUUGCUUGUGUUGUGCAUCAGUUAACCUGAUCCAUAGUAUCCACUGGUUGAGCAACAUCGUGAUACCUAAACAUUAUGCCUAUACAUGCUGUUUUGUUUUAAUCAUUAAGUGCUUCUUGGGACUGGCUAUACUAAUCAAAUAAUCUAUCUUUUACCGAGCGAGUCCUAUGUAUGGUUCUUGACUUUGCCUCAAUUUGAUAGUGAAUUGUUUUUAGUUGUUGUCCUGGUUUUAUUUAUUAAAGUGAACUACGAAAGCAGCCUUAAAUAGUCGAGUUAAAUCCUUUGUUGAGAAAUUGUGCUAAGGAAAGGAAUUUGAUAAAUAAUUUGAGUGUUAACCUUAUGGUUUGAACAUUAAAGGUUUGACACUUGCGUGAAGCUGAGGUUUGACACUACUUUCCGAACUAGUAUGAAUGAUCCUAUAUAUAAAAAUUGUUUAUAAUUUUGUAAGCUUCCUGUAUAUUACUGUAACCACUUUCUACACAUUUACUUACCUUCUUAUGAAGUUUUUCUUCGAAUCUGCUAAUAUUUGUUGGGUCAUUUAGAAAUGACAUGCUUACUACAUGCUAUUCUUAGUGGGUUGCAGUUGGACAAGAGUCUCAUAAACAUGUUACACAAUUUGAUUUCUGUAGUUGCAGCAGCAUAAUUUUCAUUCUGUCAGUUUUACUACUUCUGGAUUGUAAGCACAACCAGUUUAAACAGGCAUGAUGUUGUAAAUUACUUUAACGAAGCUCACAUCUUAAGGGGUAAAUUGGUUUUUGGUUGUAAAAAUUAGAGCAUGUCCUUAGUAACAGCUAUUUGGAAGCCAACAUGAUUAACUGACUGUUAAAGUGGGAUAUGAAAUGCUUGUAUGCAAUAGGUUACCUUUAUGGAAUUGCAUUAAAUUGUACAUGCAUGACUUUUUUUUUCUUUUUGGGUAAAGUAUAUAUAAUAGUAGUUGGCUUACAUCCUAACAAAUCAUUUAACAUGCUACUGGAAUAGUUGAUCUUGAGUUACAGUCAGUGCAGUUACAACCUCUCUAUAAAAUGUUGAAUUUCCACCUUUGGUCUCUGUACCGGUGGAAAGAGGCUCACAUGGGAGAUCAAAACCCCACUCUUGAGAUCUUUCAUAAUAUAAACAUUAUAUUGUUUGCUUCCUAACAAAUUAAGAUUCUAGUUAUUAUUGUAAACCGACAAACUUUAUCAGUAUCUUAUAAACUAGUUGUCAAUUAUUCUGAUACAUGGUCAUUUUGUUUGUCAUUUUGUUUUUCAUAUUUGUAGGUCGUUUUUGAAAUGGAGGACAUAUCCCCUGAGGUCAGUGCCUACUUAGAGGAGACCUUUGCAAGCCGGUACAAAGAUUGGAAGAGCACUCUUCACAAGCAUUUUUAGCUAUGGGAAUCUCCGGAGAUUGCUCGCCUACAGGGUUGCCCACUCGAGUAUAAGGAGCGGCGAGAGGAUUGGGAGUGGCUCUGCACACAUUUUACGGAUCCAAAAUUUGUGGUAUGUACAUAAUACUUUAAUAAUAAUUUAUUGUUUUUGUUAUUUCAUUUAAGCUUUUUUUAAUAAUUUCUUUCAAAUAGUCGCACUAACAUGUAUAUUGUAUGUUUAACAGAAUAAAUCUGUUGUUGGCAAGAAAGCUCGGGACUCAAAGACACUUCUCCACCAUUCCAGUUCGAAGCCCUUUUCGUAUAGGGUUGAGGCACGACGUGAGGUAAAAGUAUAUUAAUUUUGAAAUUUUAUACAAUCUAUUUUUUAUUAUUGAUUAAUAAAAUUUUCUUAAUGUUUUUUUUUUCUUUAGAAGGGUUCUAAGUUCCCACAGAUUGACCUGUUCAAGCAUGUUUACGUUCAUCCCAACAAUGAGAAUAGUGACCAGCUUUAUGUAAGUAUAUGUAAUUGUUAUUUUUCUUAUUUUUAUGAAUCGUUCAAAUAUUAUUUAUAUUUUGUUAUUAAACAUAGUGGAAAAGAGCACUGCUAUUCUCCAAGAAGCAACAUCGCAGCUUCCCCCAAAGACCCCGAUCGAGGACGUCAUUGUACCCAAGGAUGCAAAUGUUCAGAUCGUGACUGAGGUCCUGGAUCAGAAGUUCGGUCGUCAUCAUGGUAAGGUUGUUAGGUGUACGGGGAAGGCGGGGGUUCGUGAAACGGGUGCCUCUUCUUCCAGAUUGUCCACAGGAAAGGUCAAUUCCUUGAAGGAGGAAGUGACAACCCUAAGAGGUCAGGUUACGGCCCAGGGCGACCACAUUAGGGCCCAGGACGAGAGGAUGAAUAUGAUUGUUCAGGCCUUAGCGAUGUCUGGCCUCCAAAUCCCGACGAUGCCAACACCUAAUGUUGCUCCACCUUCGACUUCCCAGCCACUUUACCCAGAUGAUACCGAGUAGCAUGAUGUAUUAAACUUAGAAGACUUGUAGUUUUUUAAUUUCUUGUUCGGACAAACGUACAUUUUCAUAUAUUCUAUAAUUAAUUACUUUUUCUUGGUUUAUUAAUUAUUGUUUAGAAUUUAAUUAUAAUAUUUAUUAAAAAUUAAAUAAAAAAAUAUAAAUGACAAAAAAAAAGGUUUGCGCUACGCAGUGCCUACCUACGUUGCGCAAAGCUACUUUGCGUGACGCAGGACCUACGUCGCGCAAAUUUACUUUGAGCGACGCAGUGCCUACGCGACAUAGGACCGUCGUCGCGCAAAGUCAAAAAUACGUCGCCCAAAAAUUAGCUAAACGAACCUUCAUCGCGCAAGAACCGUCGCGCGAAGGUAGUGAAGGAAGGGUUUGUGCGACACAGUGCCUACCUACGUCGCGCAAAGCUACUUUGCGUGACGCAGGACCUAUGUCGCAUAAAUUUACUUUGAGCAACGCAGUGCCUACCUACGUCGCGUAAAGCUACUUUGAGCGACGCAGGACCUACAUCGCGCAAAGUAGCUUUGCGCGACGUAGGUAGGCACUGCGUCGUACAAACCCUUCCUUCACUGCCUUCGCACGACGGUUCUUGGGCGAUGAAGGUUCGUUUAGCUAAUUUUUGGGCGACAUAUUUUUGACUUUGCGCGACGACGGUCCUAUGUCGCGCAAAGUCUUUUUUGUACUAGUGAUUGCUAUAAAGUCAUGCCCUUCGGCCUAAAAAAUGCAGGAGCGACUUAUCGGAGACUGGUCAAUUCAAUGUUUGCCGAACAGAUUGGGAAGAGGAUGGAAGUUUAUGUUGAUGAUAUGCUAGUCAAGAGCAAACAUGCUAACCAACACAUCACCAACCUAUCUGAAACUUUCACCAUUCUGAAGAGGUAUCGAAUGAGGUUAAACCCCAACAAAUGUGCCUUCGACGUAGGCUCUGGCAAAUUCUUAGGCUUCAUGAUAAGCCAACGAGGUAUUGAGGCUAAUCCCGAGAAGAUCAAAGCAAUCAUCGACAUGAAGGAACCGGUAACCUCAAAAGACAUCCAAAGCCUUACUGGCAAGGUGGCAGCCUUAACUAGGUUCAUCUCUAAGGCCACAGACAGAUGUGCUCCUUUCUUCAAAGCAUUUAAGGGAAGUAAAAAGUACAUUACAUGGACUGAUGAAUGUGCUGAGGUAUUCAAGAACCUCAAAGACUACAUGAGUAAAGCCCCUCUGCUCUCCAAACCUGAGGUUGGUGACACUCUCAUUAUCUAUCUGUCGGUAUCAGCUUCAGUAGUAAGUUCCGUUCUCAUUCGAAAAGAUGGUAAUGUCGAACGGCCUGUCUACUACGCUAGCAAGGCCUUACAAGAUGAGGAGACACGAUACUCCAACAUUGAGAAAUUAGCUCUAACAUUGGUCGUGUCUGCUCGAAAACUUCGCCCUUACUUCCAAGCACACUCCAUCAUCGUGCUUACCAAUCAUCAUCUUCGACAAAUACUCCAAAGUCCUGACACUUCUGGGCGAAUGAUCAAAUGGGCAAUAGCAUUGGGUGAGUUUGACAUCUCCUACUAACCAAAGCCAGCUGAGAAGGGCCAAGCAGUGGCAGACUUCAUCGCCGACUUCACAUAUCCUAUUAACAUUGUUUCUACGCCCAAAGAAGUGGUUUCAUUACCCUCGGAAGCUCAGAAAACAGAACCAACAGCCCCAGCAUGGAGACUAUAUGUUGAUGGCUCAUCCAACCAACAGGGUUGUGAAGCAGGACUAGUCCUUACGACCCCUGACAAAGUGGCAAUGAAGUAUGCUAUUCGUUUCAAAGUUAAGGAGUCGAACAAUGAGGCCGACUAUGAAGCCCUCCUAGCAGGCUUAUGUUUGGCCAAACACCUUGGGGUUAAACGAAUUGAUAUCUUCAGUGACUCUCAAUUGGUGGUUAACCAAGUCACCAACAACUUUGACGCUAAGGAUAGCUCAAUGGCAGCAUAUAUGGCACAAACACAAUUGUUGCUCAAGCACUUCCAGUACCAGAUCACCCAAAUUCCUCGAGCGGCAAAUAGUCAUACAAAUGCUUUGGCUCACCUCGCCUCAGCGGUGGAAGACAAGAUUGGGAGAAGAAUUCAGGUCGAAUUGUUGGCAGCACCAAGCACCAUGGUUGCGGAAGUGUGCAACUUACAACAGGGGGAUAGUUGGAUUACCCCGAUUUAUAGAUUCCUUACUCAUGGCACCCUUCCAAAUGACAAAGUCCAAGCUAAGCAAAUUCGAUACAAGGCUACCUGUUACUUGAUCAUUAAUGAUCAACUUUACAAGUGGGGUUUUAACCUACCAUACCUAAGAUGCCUUACGCCCGUAGAGGCGAAAACUGUCCUUCGGGAAAUACAUGAAGGAGUCUGCAGAGAUCAUGCUAGAUCUCGAUCCCUAGCACACAAGGCUUUUUGCCAAGGAUUACUGGCCGACACUCUACCAAGAUGCCAUCAAAAUAUCCCGCUCAUGUGAUAAGUGUCAACGCAACGUAAUUAUUCCUCACUCCCCUCCCGAGCAGCUCACUCCUAUGAUCAGCCCUUGGCCUUUCGCCCAAUGGGGACUUGAUUUGAUUGGCCCAAUGCCUGCAGGGAAGGGCAAAGUUCGCUAUGCAAUCGUUGCAGUUGACUACUUCACAAAGUGGGCCGAAGUAGAACCCUUAGCAACCAUUACUAAGGCAAAAAUAGAAGACUUCGUAUGAAAGAACAUCCUUUGCAGAUUCGGCAUUCCCGAUGCGAUAGUCAUUGACAACGGGCGACAGUUCAACAACAAUAAGUUCAGGAUGUUCUGCUCUAAGUUCAACAUCAACUUAUGUUUUGCCUCCCCAGCUCAUCCCCAGUCUAAUGGACAAGUUGAAGCUAUCAACAAAAUAAUCAAGCGAACUUUGAAAACCAACUUAGACAAGGCUAAAGGUUGUUGGCCAGAAUUUGUACCCCAAGUUUUUUGGUCAUACCGCACUUCGUAUUAGACAUCAACACGAGAAACCCCAUUCUCACUUGCCUUUGGUACAGAGGCAGUUGUCCCAGUUGAGCUUGAAUAAGCAACAUUUCGAGUCCAGAACUACGUGCAAGGCGAAAAUGACAAACAACUUACCCUCAACUUAGAUCUAGUUGAGGAACACAGAAACCAGGCUCACUUGAGGAAUGUCGCCUACAAGCAGCGCAUCUCCAACUACUAUGACUCAAGGGUCAAACCUCGUUCUUUCAAAGUGGAGGAUUGGGUAUUAAAGAAAAGAUUACUCUGCGACAGAGUCCCGAGUGAAGGAACACUUAGUCCAAACUGGGAUUGACAGUUUAAAGUUGUUGGCAUCAGUCACCCUGGCUCCUACAAGCUUAGAAGCUCCGAUGGCAAGACCAUUGGCCAUCCAUGGAACGCUGAUCACUUGAAGUACUAUUACAAGUAAACUCACAUUGUACAAGUGUUAAGCUUCAACAGUUCAUCAUCCUAUGUAACGAAGACUAUUUGGCAUGAAUUCAAUAAAGAGGUGAUUUAGAUAACUCGGUCCUAAUCCUCUUACAUUCCUAGCAAUGAAACACUCGGGCCCAAAGCUUCAACUCCAAAGCUUCACUUACAAAAGCUUCAACACAAAAGCUUUACCCACAAAAGCUUCAUCAUUUGAGGACAACUACGAAUUCUCAAAAGCUUUACACUAUCUUGAUCAAGAUAGUGUGAAGCAAAAUCAAUUCAUGGUACCCAACAAAAGCUUCAACUCCAAAGCUUCACCUACAAAAACUUCAACAUAAAAGCUUCACCCAUAAAAGCUUCAACACAAAAGCUUCACCCAUAAAAGCUUGACCCACAAAAGCUUGACCCACAAAAGCUUCACCUACAAAAGCUUCACCCACAAAAGUUUGACCCACAAAAGCUUGACCCACAAAAGCUUGACCCAUAAAAGCUUGACCCACAAAAGCUUGACCCACAAAAGCUUGACCUACAAAAGCUUCAACACAAAAGCUUCACCUACAAAAGCUUCACACUAUCUUGAUCAAUUCAUGGUGCCCAACAAAGCUUUAACCUCAAAGCUUCACCUACAAAGCUUCAACACCAAAGCUUCACCUACAAAGCUUAAAAAUAUAUAUAUAUUUUUUCAGAAAUUCAAAAAUUCAAAAAUUCAAAAAAAAAAAUUCAAAAAUUCGAAGAAAAAAAAUUCGCCUAGGUCUCCUCUUCUUUAGGCCUAACAACUUUCAUAACAAAUAUAUAUAUGAAUGAGGAGUUUUGGGCUACCAUUUAAAAAGGAAAUGCCACAUUCGUCAACUCCCUCGACCGGAGACUUGGGGGACACCUACCAUAUGCUACUGCACCUUGAUAUUCAGAAGUCUCACGACCACUCAGUGACUUGGAUUUUUCAAGUCUCCAACCGAGAAGUUUUCCUCACUCGGGAAAUUAAGGAAGUACUACCUCAACAUACAUGUUUCACUCUCAAAGCUUCAACAUACAAGCUUCAACAAAAGAAAAAAUUCAAAGAACUUAGUGAAGAAGGCCUUGGUGUAUUCAACACAAUACGUUGAAAUGAAGCAAAGCUUGUUUAUUGAUAUCUUCGAUAAGUUACAAAUAUGUAUAUAUACAUGAAUCAAAAUAAACAAACAAGAGAGAGCCUUCACAAAGGUUGCUCAUGAGAAGUCUCAGCAGUCGGCAGAGCCCCAGAAAGAGUAGGCAUCAGAAGGUGAUCAUUCGGAGCCUCAGUACUGGUAGAGAACCCUAGAAGGAGGAGGCACCAAAGGUUGAUCAUUCGGAGCUUCAUUACGUGGUACAGCCCCAGAAGACAAAGGCAAUAAAUGCCUUUGGAACAAACCCACAAACCUCUGAUUAUCAAGCAAAAUCUGACCAUCAGAUUCCUGCAGCUGGUCAAGCUUCAUCUUCAUGUUUGUAGUAUAGUCAUGUGCGAGCCUGUGCAACUGUUUAUUCUCAUGCUUGAGCCCUCUGAUCUCCUGUUUGAGACUUAUCACUUCAGCCGCCAAUUAUUCAACUUGGCGGGUUCAAGCAAAUAGGUGUUGGGCCAUAUUAGACACAGAACCUGCACACUGAACACUGAGAGCCAGAGAAUCCUUAACAGUCAACUCAUCAGACCGUUUGGAAAUUAGUCUGUUAUCUUUAAGAGUGAGAAGGUUCUUGGCCACCACCGCAGCGGUUAUAUCAUUCUUCAUCACAGAGUCCCCAACGGUAAGAGGACCAGUAAGGGAUAAGAAGAAUGGGCGCCAUAUGUUGUCUUGAGAAGGCAUGGCUGCCUCUUCACCAAAGUUCAAGUCAAAACGACGGUCGGAAGGGCCAUACAUUCUCAGAAAUGAUGAAGGAGAAAUGAGGUGCAAUAAAUCUCUGAAGUAAGGGGAAAAUUCAUACAAGCAAUAACUCUCUGAAUGUACUUCUUGCACACAAUUGGUGCCCUUAUAAAAGAAAGGGUAACAAGGCCGUUGGUUCAAAAAUCGAAAAGGCAUCACUCUUCGGAUUUCAAAGAGACACCACUCUCCACACGCAACAUCAGCUCCUCGGGUACCACAGAUAACUUUGCCAAAGAUCUCUGACAAAGUUUAGACAUAUAAAUUUUGAAGGUCCAGCUACCCUACUAUUACUCACAAGGGUAAAGGAACAACACCACUACUUGAUAACUGAAGAGUCCCUAUGUGUGUCAACCUCCGUGCUCCGUGGCAAGGUAGAUUGGCAAAAAUGCCCAACCUUUACUCAUAUUCGAGAAAACACUCCCAAUAAGAUUACUUUCUAAAAAAUUGAAGAGGCACCGCUCUCCGAAUCUCAAGAGCCAGACUCCCAACAGGAUUGUUUUCUCAAAAAUCGAAGAGGCACCGUUCUUCGAAUCUCAAGAGCCAGAUCCCCGACAGGAUUGCUUGUUCGAAAACCGAAGAGGCAUCGCUCUCUGAACUUCGAGAGCCAAAUUUCCUUGGAUAAAGCUUGUCUGCAAUCUUCACACGCAACAUCAGCUUUCCAGAUACCACAUACCACUUUUUCAAAGUGCUCUGACAAAGUUAAAACACGUGAAGCUUGCAGCUCCCACUACAUUGCUACGACCAAGAAGGGUAAAGGAAUAGCAUUAUUACUUGCUUAAAAA